rnacentral:lncRNA from 1 species
UAGAGAUGACAAUUACUUAUUUUAAAGGUCUCUUAUCUAUGUAUCAACAGAGCACAAGAUGAACAAUAGAAAUAUAGCUAGCGAGCUAAAGUAUGGUAUACGCUAAAAAUUUGCAAAUCAAAACUGUAAACCUUCAUUUAAAUAUUAGCAUGAUGGCAAAGGCAGAAGCUAUGUUUAUUGCUAUGAGUACGCGAAAAAAGCCAUUAAAACAUGAAAGGUUGGUAGAAAUAAUUAGAAAAAUUCUGCCUUUUUGUGAGCAUUCAUAAUUCGAACUAAAGACUUGAAAUUUGUUAGAAAGAUUUAGUCAACAAGGUCAGGAUUUCUGUUUUUUUUUUUCCCUUGAUGGCACCUAUUCUAGUGCACCAAGAUAGAGAUGAUAAUGGGUUGGGUAUGUUAUUAUUCGUAUCAGCCGUCUACUUGCUUCAAGGCGGGGAGAGGCAAGUAUGGUGUUUGGCGGAGAUGGGGCAGCAAAGUUAAACAAGAUGGGUUGAAAGGAUCCGGUUGGGUAUAAUUAUAAAAAAUAUUUUUUUAUACAAAUCAAAUAAGUAAAAAAAUAUAAAGAUAAAUCUUAGUGCUUUACAUAAUAUUAAACAAAAUAAGUGCCGAAGAUAGAGAACAUAAUAAACUAAAUGUUCAACGUAAACAUAACAAAUAAAAAUAUUAUUUUUUAAAAAUUCAAAUAUUCUUAAGAUAAGAAAAACAAUCAACUAAAAAUAAAUAAUUAAACAUCAUGGCAGUAACUUUUCAUGUGUUCAAUCUUUCUCACAAGUGGAACAGCUAGGACAAAGGGUGGAGGGGCUUUGUGAAGAGUUAAUUAUAUGGAUCAGGUUUGAGGUGGGUUAUAUCAUUAGGCAUACUUGCUCAAGAUCCACUGUAGGUCAGCUAAAAUCUGCUCCAUUAGGAUCAGAUCAAGUUUAUCCCUAAUAGGGCGGAAUAAAUUGCUAUUUUUACACCAAAACAAUGAUCUGAGAAAGGGAGAGAGACAUCGUGACACUGUCUCUUGAUGAGGAGAUAAUUGUCUUUUUGUAUAUUUCCCCUUAUUUGAUGAACAAAUUAUGGAAUUUCGUCGGGGUUUAUUUAGGAAUGAAAUGAUGGUUGUUUUAACUGUUGAUGGUGAAAAAAGAACUUUAUUGUUUUCCAAGCUAAUAUUCACCAAAUAAAAUUACUUUUUGCGAGUUAACUUAUAGAAUUGAAUAAAUAUUAUUUUAUUUUAAUUAACAGUAAAAAAUCAAAAAUUACAAUUCUCUCUCUCUCACGCACGGAUAACAGCCAUUGAAACUGCUUUUAUUAUGUACUUGUUGUUUUUUUUGUUAAUUAUCAGAAUACCUUGGCAUAACAGGACGCCCCUGAAUACAUUGCAUCAGAAGGUUUAACAUCUUCUUGCCUGUUUCGUUUUAGCAGGCGGGAAGCAUCGCCUCGUGCAUUUAAAUCAAGGAAAGAAAGGAAAAUCUGGGAGAUAUUGGACUUCAAUUGGACAUAAUAAUCAAUAAUGGGUUCCUGAUAAAAUAGAGUUAAGAAUAGUAAGGCCCUAUUUGGGGGAGCUUUUGGAGGGCCAAAAAGCACUUUCUAGCCCUCCAAAAGUACUUUUAAGUAAAAAAGAGUGAUUGGUAAAAUUUUGGAAAAGCUGUUUCAGCUUUUGCGGAAAGUUGAAAACAGCUUCUUGGCAGAAGCUCCAUUUUGGAGCUUUCCGAAAACACUGUUUUCAGCUUUAUCGGGAAGCUGUAUUUUUGACCAAAAUACCCCUAUUUAAAAGUUCNNNNNNNNNNNNNNNNNNNNNNNNNNNNNNNNNNNNNNNNNNNNNNNNNNNNNNNNNNNNNNNNNNNNNNNNNNNNNNNNNNNNNNNNNNNNNNNNNNNNNNNNNNNNNNNNNNNNNNNNNNNNNNNNNNNNNNNNNNNNNNNNNNNNNNNNNNNNNNNNNNNNNNNNNNNNNNNNNNNNNNNNNNNNNNNNNNNNNNNNNNNNNNNNNNNNNNNNNNNNNNNNNNNNNNNNNNNNNNNNNNNNNNNNNNNNNNNNNNNNNNNNNNNNNNNNNNNNNNNNNNNNNNNNNNNNNNNNNNNNNNNNNNNNNNNNNNNNNNNNNNNNNNNNNNNNNNNNNNNNNNNNNNNNNNNNNNNNNNNNNNNNNNNNNNNNNNNNNNNNNNNNNNNNNNNNNNNNNNNNNNNNNNNNNNNNNNNNNNNNNNNNNNNNNNNNNNNNNNNNNNNNNNNNNNNNNNNNNNNNNNNNNNNNNNNNNNNNNNNNNNNNNNNNNNNNNNNNNNNNNNNNNNNNNNNNNNNNNNNNNNNNNNNNNNNNNNNNNNNNNNNNNNNNNNNNNNNNNNNNNNNNNNNNNNNNNNNNNNNNNNNNNNNNNNNNNNNNNNNNNNNNNNNNNNNNNNNNNNNNNNNNNNNNNNNNNNNNNNNNNNNNNNNNNNNNNNNNNNNNNNNNNNNNNNNNNNNNNNNNNNNNNNNNNNNNNNNNNNNNNNNNNNNNNNNNNNNNNNNNNNNNNNNNNNNNNNNNNNNNNNNNNNNNNNNNNNNNNNNNNNNNNNNNNNNNNNNNNNNNNNNNNNNNNNNNNNNNNNNNNNNNNNNNNNNNNNNNNNNNNNNNNNNNNNNNUAUAUCAUAUAUUUAUGUAUUAAUAUAUAUUAUAUUUUUAUUAUGCACUAUUGUAUAAUACUAGUAAUGUCCUUUAUGAUCAUUUUGUCAUAUAAAAGUACUUUCUCAGUUUGUUUACCAAACAAAUGUUAAAGUGCCACAGCACUUUAGAAAUGUAGUUACCAAACAACAAACAGCUUUUUAUAAAAGCUCUACUUCCAACAGCUCUACUUCGAACAGCUCUAGUUCCAACAGCUCUAUUGCCAACAGCUCCCCCAAAUAGGACCUAAGUGGUUGCUUAAUUUGUUGAACGAAGUACUAGAAAACUUUUUGACUCUGAGUGGCACAUUUGUAUAAGAUGCCAUCUAAUGAGGCUGAAUGGUUCAUGUUUGGGAUCAUCCGUUGCCAUUCCAGCUUUCACGACAAGCCCCUACCUUGUUUAGAGUUGCUAGGCCAAUUAAGAUCUUCAUGGAGUCAAAUUCUUAAAAUAAAUGGGAUAAGGCCUGUUUGUGAAGGCAUGAGCACGACUGAGCUUAUUUGUUAAAACUUGCUGCCACAACCAAAUGAAGAAGUUAGAAUUUGAAAUCCUAGAACCCCAGAUAUGACACUUGUCUUCGCUGUAGCUCAGAGAAGUAGUGGAAAUAAAAUAUUAGAUGGUCUGAAAUUAAAGUAGAUCUAAUAUGGAGGCGCUUAUACAACAGUAUAAAUAAGAUUGGCCCUAACUGCAUGACUGAGAGCCUAGCAUCAAUAAUCCAAACUGCUGGAUAUGGUUUAUAAUCUCUCUAAACUGCGUACUGUUAAAAAAACUUAUAUGGCUUGAAGUCCUCUAGCAUAUGCAUCAUGUAUAAAUUUAGUGAUAAAAAAUGAACAGUUUAAAUGACACGAAGAUUAUAUAUUUUAUGAUCACUAGAUGCAAGUCGCUUGGACUAUCAAUGCUGGGUCCUUGGUUGACAAGUUUGAGCUGCCUCUGGCCAAUCUUAUUUAUACUGUUGUAUAAGCGCCUCCUAUAAUCCUGAAAUUGUAUUGAAAUAGUUCUCUAGCAUUGGAGGAAUUUCUUCGACUCAACAAGCUCUCCAUAUAAGGUGAAUCCUCUGGACUAUGGAGACAUUACCAACUAUUGGUCUAACCUUUUCCGUUACAAAUCAGACACUCCUUGAACAGCCUUUGAUAGUGCAAGUUGUCAUGAAGUAGGAUGCCAAAAAUGACACAUAACAAUGAGAAACAUGAGAGAAUUCAAAACUAACAGAAAUUCAUCAUCUCUGAACUGUCAAAUUAAGCUAAGCAUGGAUCUUUCCAGUUACCUCCAAUCAAAUUUUUUCUUUCUCCAGAAGAAGAUGUACAUAAUAAAGAACAACAGAAUAAACAUACAAAUAAGCAAGCAAAAAAUAAAUUUUCCAAAAAAGGUAUGAUAAAUAUAACAAUCCAGAAAAUAAUAAUAAUAGGAUGUGCUCACUGAUUUUACGAGCUCCCUAGUUUAUUCCAUUGGGUUUAUUUUGCUUUGACUUGGCCAAGCUAACAAGAUCGCCGAAUAACUUAUCUUCAGGCUUUGAUGGUCUGUUGGACUGGUGACUGUAAAAUGUGGAUGAAGCAGACAUUGGAUAAGAGGAGUUCAUAUUCAUGUAACUACUGUUGUCUUGCAGGGAAAGCCCAUACAUUCUCUGAGAAAUAUCAUUUGGACCCACAUAAGGGUACAGAGGUCUCUGAUUAUAGUACCGAGCUUCUGGCUGUUGACCAUAUCCAUAAUUUAUCCACUGAACACCCUGCAUGAGUUGUUGCUGCAUGCCUAUGAAUUGCCCACCCUGAAUAGGUUGGGAAUAUAAACCUCCCAGCUGGUUGCUCUGCAUUGGUGGGGCUGACAUACCAAUCUGCUGGUUGCUCUGAAUUAGUCCAGGAUGCAUUCCUCCAAGGUGGCUGCUUGGGAUUGGCCGGGGAUGAAUAACUCCCUCAAGUUGGCCACUCUGCAUUUGUUGAGGCUCAAGCAGUUGGUUAUUCUGAACAGUCUGAGCUUCCCAUGGUGGCAGAGGAAGAGCUCCACCUUGAUCAUUUGUAUCUGUUUGAGAUAAAAGAGAUUUUAGUGAUACUAUGCCCUCCUAUGACCAAUGAAAACUUGCGAUAGAUUGUAUGGUUUAAGAGAUGGUGGUGGUUUUGGAAACUGAAAAAUAACAAAAAACAUCUCAAUCAAUAUCAAUUAGUUUAGUAUUUCCAUGCAACAACUUAGAAAUAUUAACCUUCCAUAGCACACUUAGCAGAUGUGGAAAAAGAAACAUUCAUGGACAACCACUUCAAGAUUUGACAUGUAGAAGAACAGAGAUUUCAGGCAUGCCACUGAUGAUAGAAUGUUUUGUCACUUGACUGUAUUUUAAAAGCAGUAAAAUAGUCAAGGAAAGGCUAGAAGACUUACUGUAAGUUGCCUGCUGCUGGGAACUCAAGCGAUGAGAACUUUGACUAUUCCAUGCAGGAUUUGCUUGAUUCAAUUGGGUUGCUUGGAUAUAAGCUGCUUGUUCAUAUUGAGGUACCCCAGAAUUUGGGACACUUCCAUUGGAAUAAUUUGUAGACUGAUGGAGUUCUAGUUGAAGCUGAGGUGCAGCAGGAUAUGUCUGUGAUGCUGGAUACACUGUAUUAGAAUCAAUAGCAUUGGUAGGUUUGUUGCUGUUAUUGCUGUUUUGAGAAAAUAUAUCAGAAAGAGCCAAAAUGUUCUUCUCAGUUCCAGAGCUAGCAGAACUAUCAACUAGGUCAGUAACAGGUACAAGUGCAAGUGAAUUCUCCGAUGUAGGUUUACUGAAAUCCUCGCCACUAAGAAGGUCCAUGUUAGGAUCAAUUAUUUCUAAUGAGGUUGCCGCACCAUUAGAUGCUGGAGGAGCAGGUAGCAGUAAUUGCUGAAGAGGAGUCUGCUUGUUUGUGCUUGUGCUCAUAUUGGACCUACAGAAUAAAUGCAUUAUGCCUUCAGGCAAAUAUGAGAAAUUGAAAAUGAACAAAAUCAAAGCCCUCGACCUGAUCAAACAAGGCCAAAGUUUGAACAUGGAUUUAAAGGUAAAGCAGUCAAAAGAAACACCGGGAAGGUCAGCCAAACAAAAUUUAAGGAGAGCCCGCCUAUUGGUGCAUCAAAGUUUUAUCAGAUUGAAAAUAAAUGACCACUACACAUUAAAAGCAACUUUAUAUGUAACUUCAGGUGAACUGUUGAGUAAGCAAUAAAUAGAGUUGUUUUUGAAAGAAUAUUGACUACCUUUGAUUCAAAUGUGCACUGCUAUCUGCAUUUGUUACAGAAGAAUCAUCAACAUCUACAAGUGCUUGAAGAGUCUUUGGCUUCUCUGCAUGAACAGCAAUUCCUGAAAGAACGGCAUCAUGUCUGGCUAGAAUUCGCUGCAACUCAUCAUUUAGUGCAAGUCCUUCGCGAAGCAGUUCCUCAUCCCUAUAAAUGUUUAGAAAGCAGACAGUAAACAGCCAUUUAGCAAACUGCAACAGACCAAAAUUUCAUUCAGACUUCCAAUUAGGUUAAUAUUGCACAAAAAAGAUUUAUUCCUAUAUCACAGCAAGUCAAAGCAUAAUAUGUUGGAUUUGUUUGGUUCUAUGUUAAGGGAAAAGAAAAGGAAUCAGAGGUAUUCAAAUUAAAACUAUGUAUGGUUCUAUACACAUUGAUUUUGAGGCAGCUUUGGCAAAAUGCCAGCAUAUAAAACAGCCCUUAAAAAUUAAGAGAGAGAGAGAGAGAGAGAGAGAGUUGCACAGAAACAGAAAGGCUAGCCAAAGAACAAAAGGAUACAUGAAAAAAGAAAACUAAAUGACAAGGACAAAAGUUUUUUUUGUCUACAAGCAUAAAGUUCUUAUUUCAACAAAACAUACGAAAAAUGGAAGGUUGCCUUUAAGAGGGAUAUAACAUUAAAUUAAAUCAGAUUCUUGACAAAAUAAAACAUUGAAAAAAAGUUCAAAUGUUCUUUACAAACAACUGUAUUUUAAGGAUUACACACUGAAACGUAAAUAACUCUUUGGAAGUCUUACGAAGUCGUGUUCACAUGGUGCAUCACUCUCUGUUUGUUUGAACGGCACUGAUCAACAAGGUCGACAAGCACCUCCUGUGUGAGUCCCUGAAUAUUAGCAGUAUCAUGGCUCAGCACUUGUAAAGUUAAGCUGUAUGGUAGAAAUCUAGAAAUGCAGUUGGCCUGAUUAGUACCAUACGCUAACAGUUUCUUCGUGAACUCUAAGUAGGAUAUUAGAAUUGAAAUAAUAAUUACAAGUUUCCUUCAUUGACAGUCCAUACUUCCACAUGUAUAUGCAUAUUAUUCAUUAAAUUGGGACAGCUUCAGUGUUCCUAGGUAAUCUAUUCCAAAAGAUAUCAUGGAUCGUCUGAGGGACGAUCAAUGUCAUUCGCCUGCAUGUCUGAAAACACAAGUACACCAAAAUUCGAGUGUUUGAUAGCUUCUAGAGAUGGAUAAUGGCUAAACUUUUGUUGUGUUAUGGAAAAGUUAUCCAUUUAGCGGUUACUUGAUGCAUGGAUAACAAGUUUCCACACCAAAAAGUUUGUUCAGAAGAGCUUUGGAUGUCAUAAAUCAUGAGGAACGAUGUGGAUCAUCAACGCAUGCUCUACAAUUAUAGAAAAUACAGGGCAUGACCAAGUUAGCUAUGCCCUGAGAACAAUAAAGCAAUUCCAGUGUUUAUGAUACACAUACUGUAAUACAAUACAGAUACUCAUAUUCAUCCAUUUAGACAAAUAAAGAUCAUAUAUGUUUCAUUUCACAAUGGAAAAGGAACAUCAUGCAUAAACAUAUACACACAAACACAUACACACAUACAUACAUACAUACAUACAUACAUAUAUAUAUAUAUAUAUAUAUAUAUAUAUAGAAAGUUAAACAUAGAACCUAUGCUGAUAAGCUCUCUCUUAUAUCNNNNNNNNNNNNNNNNNNNNNNNNNNNNNNNNNNNNNNNNNNNNNNNNNNNNNNNNNNNNNNNNNNNNNNNNNNNNNNNNNNNNNNNNNNNNNNNNNNNNNNNNNNNNNNNNNNNNNNNNNNNNNNNNNNNNNNNNNNNNNNNNNNNNNNNNNNNNNNNNNNNNNNNNNNNNNNNNNNNNNNNNNNNNNNNNNNNNNNNNNNNNNNNNNNNNNNNNNNNNNNNNNNNNNNNNNNNNNNNNNNNNNNNNNNNNNNNNNNNNNNNNNNNNNNNNNNNNNNNNNNNNNNNNNNNNNNNNNNNNNNNNNNNNNNNNNNNNNNNNNNNNNNNNNNNNNNNNNNNNNNNNNNNNUAUAUAUAUAUAUAUAUAUAUAUAUAUAUGAAAGUUAAACCAUAGAACCUAUGCCUGAUAAGCUCUCUCUUAUAUCAUUUGAAAAGGCAAGGUUGAAUUUAAUGGCUGCAUGUUUUUUUUUUUGUUAAGAAUUUCGUUACUUUCACUGCAAAUGCUUCGAUUUUGAAAAAUCCUAAAUAAGGUAUAUCAAGUAGUGAUAAACUUUAGUUCAAUACUCUAAAAUUGGUGCAAAGCUGAAUGAAUGACGCAUUGGCAAUUUCUAAGUUUGGCAUUUUAGUCCACAGAAAAAGGUCAUGCAAGAAUACAUUAAAACCUUAUCUUUGUGCUUUCCAUUAAAGCAAAGUAUAAGAGACAACCACUGCCACACAUGAGCUUCUAUAUUGCCCUCUGUACAGACUCAACCAUUUGCCUCAAGGCAUAUUUGGAACAUGUUGCCUCUUGGUCUGAGGUGAGGCAAAACCUUGAAAAAGGGUCUUUUCAGCAACAUAUAUAGCAUGCACAGCCUAGUAAUGGGCAUGAGGGAAAAUGGUAAGGUUGCUCCAGUGUGGCGUAGGUGUCACGAGUUUGAAACACAGAAACAUCCUCAUCAUGCGCAAGGGUAAGGCUGCAUAUAGUUGUCCCGUCCCAGAUCUUAAGAGUGGUGGGAACCUCGUGCACCGGACAACCUUUUUUUAGCCUAGCAAUGGGCAUGUGUGCAUGGAUGGGUGGAUGAAUAUGGUUCCAUAUGGUUCAGAAUUAGUGAUAUAUAUAAAAAUUAAUAAAUGCACUGCACUUCUAGUUGGAACAGUUCUUUGUUGUCUUUUGUGAACCAAGAGGGAAGUAUUCACUCAAAAGGGGAAAAUUUUCAAGGAGAUGGUUUGAUAUGGUUUGAUUUCCCUAUGAAGUUUGCCUUACACGUGCAUCUACAUAUUUACAUAAAUAUGUAUAAAUAUAAGUAUGUAUAAAAUGCAUGCAUGCAUGUCUAUCUGUCUGUGUAUGUAUAUAAAGCCAUCUAUCUUACUUUUAUCAGAUUCACUCUAUAAAUUGCAACACAAGGGGUAUUGGAUCAGGCCAAGUCUAAAAGUUCAUUAGUUUCUCUGUUGGGGAUUUAAACCAUGCACUCAAUGGCUUUAGGUCAGUUUGAAUUCAGUCUGGAAGUUAUGUGCAAGAUCCCAUAUUUGAAACUUGGUGAGUACAAAUCAAUUUUCUAAAAAUGUUGGGUAAGUGACUCGGUUUGAGAAUCAAGCCUAGGUCUGGAUCUCAAAUAAUUACAUGUUUGAUUUGCUGGCUUAAAAUAAAUCAAAAAUGGCCAAAAGCAGAUUUAAGAUAAUAACCAGUUGAAUAUGUCACACACGUGGGUCAGAUGGACUUGAACCUUACCCAAACACAACCUGACCCAAACCUCAACAAUGCAUGAAUUGAAAUACAUUAGUCAGGCAGGAGUCCCAAACCAAGACCUGAACUCUAAUUGAGCCAAGGAUAAACCAAGAAAAGCUGGACCAGAACCAACCAAUCGCAACAAAUAUUAGUCCAGAAUUGAGAUCUAACCAGUAGAAUCAGAGCUGAGCCUAACGCAACCUCAAAUGGGAGCCAACCUUGCCUAGCAAACCAAGUAAAUUACAAGUUAUUUGAGCCUACCAUACAAAAUUUGCAUUUGAUUGAUUGGAGUUCGUAAAACUAAAGGAAUCUAAAUAUAUAUGUCAAUGUCUAACCAACAAAAUGGCUUCAGUUAAUUUAAGAUAAUCCGAUACUAGCAACAUGUUCAAACAAUGAGCCUAUAAAUAAUCGACAACACUAGCAUCUGAGUUAAGUGUUUGCAGCACGAGGUUUUUCAACAGAUUGUUGGAUGUUUCAAUCCAGAUAUCCAAGUUGCAUUGAAGAUUUGUAGCGUUAACAUAUUUUGACAUUAAUCAUAAGUAAAAUUCAAGUCUCAACAAUUACUCCAGUUUUAGAUAUGAAAAUAUAAUCAGCAGCACUAAUUUGCAGAUUACCUUUUUGUUCCCGGGCUCUAAAGCAUUAAGCAUUUGGGAAAGAAUAUCAAUAACACCACGGGCAUUCUGGAUUUCUGCGAGGCUGAACAAAAAAACCUAGUUUCAAUUUACAACAUCAAACAUAGGAACGUCCAAAAGAAGACAAACAGAAAAACAAUACAUAAUCAGGAUAAAGGUAAUCAGAAUAAAAGGACAUAGCAUAAAAAGUUAAGAUCUACAGAAAUUUAGUGUGAUAUUAAGAAGAAUAGAUCAGAAAAGGGAGUAUUAAUACGAAGUUGUUAUAACUUUGCAAUAUAUUCUGUCACUAUAGGUUUGGUUACUCUUCCUUUUAUUUCAUCUAAAAGCGAUUGGUAACUAAAGCCCCAAAUGAGGUGAAAGCCUCCAUAAUAAUGCAACUUACCAGGCUUGAGUGUUUAGAAAGCAAUCAGGCCCAAAUUCAAAUAACAAACAAAUUUGGAAAUUUGUUAUAGGGGCAUGACAAAUAUGCAAACAUAAACAAGCAACAAAUCACAAAAUCCGGCUGUAUCAUUUUCACAUCAAAAUGGAAACUUUUGUUUCCACUUGACCAACACGCAACAAGCAAUCCAAUAACCAUUGUCCAACACCCCACUCUGUACAGUAUGGAUUUAUGAUAUUAGAAAAAUGAAAAUGAAAUCUCAUUCAAAUUGCCAGAAAUAAAACAUACAAAUGAUAAAAAGAAGCUUGAAACUGGAAGACAGAUAAGGCAAUGUUCAAAUUUCAUCAUCUUCUGGUGUAGCUUUCUACUUUUCAUGUAAAGUUGAGAUUCAGUCAUAAGCUAAGGAGGUUAUUUUUCAAAACAUACUGAAACAUGAAAAUAUAUCCCUUAACUUUCUCAUUUGAUCAAAAUUAUGGUCCUCGAGUUGGAAUGGAGAUUGAAAGUGUACCAAGUCAAAUCCAUCCCAAAACCUCAGAGCUUGGGCUGCCCUUGACUCUUCCUAUUGAUUAACAAACCGCAACUUUCUUUCCUCUAUGUACAGGUAUCAUCUUAAUAAUUUGCAAUUCAUUGAUUGUGAAUGCAAUAAUAGAAAUGCUAAUCUAGUAAGUCCUAACAUACGAGGCGAUUCACUUGUACAACUCCUUACUUCCAUGAGCUGUAAGCUUUUGAUAGAGAGAAAGGUCUCUUUGAUGACAAAUGUGGUUUAUCAAUAGAUCGACUAUAGGCUUCUCUGAUAGUUUAAGUAUCUAAAGUGUAAAAUAUCAAGGUUACUACUGCACAAAGUACAUGCAUAUCAAACAAAUAUUCCCAUGAACAAGCACUAGCUAUUGAAUGCUUAAAAAUCUAAAAACACCAAUUUAUUUCAUCACUUAAUAAUUUAAAAUAAGUCAGUGAUAACAUGCAGUUAUCUAAAAAAGGCAAGUGGAAGGCUCCAAGAAAGAAGAUUCUCUAAGAACUUGGUGUCAAAAAUAGUAUCAGACGCAGCAAACUGUCACAACCCAGAAAGUAACAGUAAUUAGAUUUAACAAACUAAUAUUAUAUGGAAUGAACAGAUUAUAUUACAGUACAUGCUGAUGUUGCACUCCUGAAAGCAUAUGACAUGCUAAAACCUUGGGCAAGGGGAACACUAUGCACCUCAGAAUAGGAAAAUCAGAACCCGCAGAAGACUCAGGUGCCUCUUGUUGAUAAUCAGGAUUUAGCUCAGGUCUUUGAGGAAAUAUAGGUGCAGAUCUCUCAGGUCUUCGAGAAAAUACAGCUCCCCCACGCUGAUGGACAAAAGGUUUACCUCAGGAACAUGUGUAUGUCUACAUAUGUAUCUAAAUAUGCAAGAACAUACAUAUGUAUAUAAAUGAUAAUGAGAUAAUCUAACAUGAAUUAUUACUAAAAAAUGUCAAAAUAAUUUUAUCCACCCCAACAACAUUUCUCAGAUGGAUGGACAUGAGUUGCAGCGACUUAUCCACAACUUAAAAAGUAAACAUAUCUAUCGCCACAACUUAUAAAGUUGUAUUAGAAGUCCAAAAGCAUACCAACAACUCCUGAUAUGCUGCAUAAUAUUGUGGAUAUCUUGCCUGUGGACCACCAAUUGCUUCUUGCCAAGUAUCUAUUAACAGAAGUACCUUCUCCUUGACAUUAAUAUCAGCUUGCUGCAAGGAUUUACAAUGAGGUAAUUCAAACUUUUCAAAAGGAAUCAAGGACAAAAAAAAGUGGAUAAGAAAUAAGGUUAUUCUUGAAAUAGUCAAAACCUUCUUUCUCACUAUCAUCACCAUCUCAUGCAGAAUAUCUUUCUCAGCAACAUGCAUAUGGACUAUAUCGCCGCAGUUCUUUACCAUUGUUUCCAGAAGCUGGUAUAAGUUAAAGCAAGAACAUGCCUCCAUUAGUCUAGGAUUUCCAAAACAAGCCAGCAGCAACCGAAUGAAUAUAAAAGAGGAACUGAUAAUGGUGCCAGUGUCGCAAUGGAAAAGAAAAACCUAUAACUAUAGAUGCUUGACAAAGGCAUUUUUUUACUCCUUGAGAAUUUGCUUUGUUCGUUGACUUGUCAUAGCAAAUAUGCUUAAAAUAAGCGUUACCCAGACUCUUUGAUUUAGUGGGAAAUAACCACAUCCAACAAUUGAGCAUGGAAAGUAGUAUGACACUUGGACAUCACUUAAACAUGGGUCCCUAAGACUAAAUUCUUAGAUACUGAAAGGAUCCGACCCUUAGCCACAAUCACACCCCAGACAUGAACCAGAUCCAUGUAAUGUAUUGUAAAAUAACCCCCAUCCCUUGACUUGUGAAAAACUUAUAUACUUCAUAAAAUCACAAAUACUUACUAGUACUUAGCUAUCAUCAUUGAAAGUGUUGAGGAAACACAACUAUGAACAGAACAAAUAAAUCAAAUAAGUAGAGUUGCUUCAAACAGCUGUAUGUACUUGAUAAUCCUAGGCCACUAUUCUGGACAUAACUGACCAAAGGUCCACAACUGACCCAAAGGUGGCUGAAAUCAAAAUCUUUUAAACCUUGAUUCAAAUUAAAAGAUGCUCGAGCUACGGAAAACAAAUUACAAAAUGCAAAAAAUGAGUCUUAUGAAAAACAGUUCUCCCCUUUGCUAUCAUAAAACCUGUUUUACAGACAAUCAGGAUUUACGUUUUUUUUUUAAAAGAAACCUCACAGACAAUGCAACAGCACCAAGGAUCUUCUCCACAUUCUUAGGAAUAACCUUCUAACAUGACAUUUGGCAUAAGCUGAAUCAGUGUUAAUUUUGACCAUAACAAAUAACAAAAAUGAAAACAUGGUUUUAAUUUGGUGUAAAUUUGGAAUGUAAAGCUUAUAUAUGCAUUAAAUGGAAUAAUGUUACAAUAAUCAAGAAUAUGCACAAACAUCUAUCAUACUGCCAAAUCUUCCCCGACAGAUAUGCACUUAAUGAUAAAUACUCAUUUUGCGUGGUUUAUAACUAUCCAUGAGUGCAUUAGGGCAUCUAAUAAUGCUAUAUAGGCCGAUAUGAUAAGGGAUCAUGCUUUGUUCCUUUGUCACAAUCAAUGAUUUUACACUAAAAUACCUUGUUUUUUUUUAAGAAUAAAAUAGCUAGGUUUAAUCCCAUGCUGUAACAAGGAGUCCUCUUGCUCUUUACCUUGAUUGUAAGAUGCUUCACCAGUUUUCUUGAACAAUCUCCAAGGUCUCAACAUAUGCGGCUUCGGGGCUUGUAAAGGCUUGGAGUUUGGACCUAGUUCCCAUCCCACUUAUUUCUUAAGAUGUCAGCUUAAUUUGGUCAAGGAACCUUGAGUUCUUUUUAAAGAUUUUAGUAAAUUAAAAGCUUGUACCAUAAAUCAUAAAGAAAAUAUCACAGGCCUUCUUCAUGACUUCAGUGCUUCCUUACAAUUAAGGUGGAAAUCUUUCCAAUCAACUCUGUGGGACUUACUCUGGGAAAAAGAUACCGUAAGUCACUAGUUAGUUGAAAAAAUAAACUUCUAUCCUUGAGUAGUAGGUUUAUUGUAACAACCCAAGACCUUAUCCCAAAAGACUAGCUAGAAGGAGUUAUUUAGGUUCCUUGGCCCCGUAUAAAUAUCCAAGAUCUACCCGCCGAAGAGACUUAUUCAAUGGUCACUGCUAACCGCUUUUGGUCCCAAAACUUUGGGGUUGCUUAUUCCAAUAAACGUUGGUUACAUUUCUUUAUGCUAUUUGUACUAGUAACCGAUUUAUGGAUGGUGCUCUUGGGAUCCCAGCAUAACGAUUCUAUUUCUGUCUAAAUUUCGGAGUAAAUGAGUUCUAGAUGCGGUAUUUCCUUAGUAAUUCUUUUAGGGCCCUGACUUGUCACGAGUCUGAAUUUCAUAUUUUCGGAGAUAUGGAGCUAAGCAAAUGCCGGCACGAGUCCUCACAUGCUCUCACCAUUUAUGCCUUGGUAUUCUCGCUGGGUUAAGGGUCCAAAUCAAAUCCAAUCACAAGAACCAUAAAUCCAAUCACAAACACUACGACCAGCUCAUGAUUUCUUGAUCCCCAUUUAUUUAUCAUGGACACUAGCAAUUCUUGUAGCAUUGAAUUUCAUAGUUAUGUAAGCAUACCUUCUAAAAGUAAAGUUUGCAUAUGAAGAAAUAAUAUUUUUACAUACUAAGUAUCAUUUCUUCGCAACCCAAAUUUGAUGCCUAAGUGAAGUACAAUCAAAACAAAAUUUCAUAUUGAUUAAAUAAGAAGAAGAGACCUAAAUUAAAUUUAACUAUUAAAUGGAUCAAGGAAUAUCCCAACACUAUAAAAGCAGCGAAUUUUCCCAACUUUUCAAUUCCCAUAAGUCCCUAAUUAGAUUUCUCCUUUAAAGCUCAAACCAUGGCAGGUUUCUAUAGAAAAUGGUUCCAACAUUGUUGGACUCUAAGAAGAACGAGUCCAAGAGGGAACUCUUCUUGAGUUGGGAAUCCAUGUUUCUGUACAUGCUAAGAAUAAAGAAUUGCAUGUCCGUCACAAUCUAAAUUCAUUAGUGAUUUGUUUGACAUAGAAAAACUGAAAGUUAUCUACCUUAAGAACGAAAUAUACCAAAUAAAUCUAAAAGAAUUUCAUAAGGAAGAUAUACAGUGUCAAAUCCAUGUCAAAAUAUUUUGCAUUUUAUCUUAUACCUAAAAUCUCUAGCAGAAGCCACAUGCAUUAAAACUAAUAUAAAUAUAUAUGUUUAACAUUUAAAAAACUGAUAAUAUCAUAAAUUAAUAAUACAACGACAGCACAUGUUAUAGAAUAUAUUAAGCUAAAGUUGCUCUAGAUAGAUUGAAUUUGAUGAUGACGACUAUGAUGACAAUCAUACUAAGGAGCAUGGAAAUAUCAGGAAGCAGGUGGAGGACAGCUACUUUGCAGUAUGUAGAGUAGGAGAUCAAGCUAUUAUGGAUGCAAAAGAUAAGGUCAAGGGACUCAGAAAAAAGAGAAGUUGUGCACAAAGAACAUUCCACUAAGAAAAACAGUAUUCAUGGAAAUUACAAGCAAUAGCAUAAGAUUAUUUUUUAAAUAGUACAUGCCAACAGAGUAACAGAACAGAAUCAGUAGUAAUAAUUUUGGUGCUCACUGUCAAUGCAAGAAGCUGAACUUUUGGAUUCUUAUGCCGAAGACGCUUUUUGAGUCCUUUUACAACAUCCUUUGCUUGUCUGGUAAACCAAAAAUUGAGAAAAAAAAUAAAAUAUUAGAACAGUGAAUUUACUAUUAUUCUGUUUUAGAUAUCAUGAGCAUCAAUCAACAGAUGCCAUUGCAUCAGAGCACAUAAAUGAAGGAUAAAGGUUUAAAUAUGUUUAUGCUCUUAAAUUAUACAGAUGAAAUAUAUUAUUAAAAUGGUUGUGCAUCAGUGCCACCAUUUUGAAGGUCAUUCUAGGUCACAAUUAGCAAGAAAAUAGAAGCCUACAGAAGAUUUUCAUGGUUUGCAUUAUUAUUUAUGUCAAGAAUAAACUAAAGUUACAUAAGCACAAGUCUUGAUUCAAUCACAGAGUAUACAGCAGAUUAGAUCACACAAAAUUCUAGAAGUCUGGCAAUAUUUUCUUGCAAUAUUGCAAUGCAUAUCCAAACAAAGGAUUGUACAUAAUAUAGCAAACCAGAAAACAUGUCAAUGAUUGAGGACUCAAAAUACAAGAAGAAAGUCCUAUCUCACCUCCCUAAUGAAAAUGCUACACAUGCAAAUAGUUGGGGAAUUCAUUUUGAUAUAUGCAGCUUCAAAAGAACAUCCAAAAGCAAAGAAUUGGGCAGUAGACCAUCCGAAGAUUUUGUUUGGACAGUAAGUAUCAGGAUUUUAUUGGUACUAAGCCAGAAGACCAGGAGACCAAGUCUCAUGACACAAUGUGAAGCAACUGUUUUUCUUCGGGUGCACUAAUUGGAAAGAUGUGAAGUUUCCAACAUAAUAUGACAGGGCAUAAAACAAAGUAUUUCAAAAAGCAAAACUAGCAUUGUGAGCACAAAAAAUUGUAUGAUAGGACAGGACCCAAGAAGAGCUAAAUGUACAAUAAAUACUACAGGGGGUGUACAAAACCAGCCAAUCUAAAGAAACUUGCAUUUAAUUAAGUGGUAAAUCUAUUUUCCAAGGACAUUAUUCAUUUUCUGCAUGGACCAAUCCAAACUAAUAAUUCCAAAUAGAUAGAGUUGGCUUAACGAAUCAAAAAAUUAUCCAUCAAGGUUUGAGAAGUUGCUGCUAUCGGCUCUCUAUUACAUUAACUGUCCAGGAUUGAUGCGUAAUUGCUAAAUAGAGGAACUUUUAGACAAGAGUGAGACCUAUCAUCAGACCUAAUAAGACCAAUUCGUACCAAGUACUACCAUAAAGCAUUUGAAUUCAUAUCUACACUCUAUCAAAAAUCAAGAGUUUAAGUCCUCUAAGUCCAUUGAUUUUGCCCUUGGUAAGAUUUCAUUUAGUUUUAUCUGAAAACUUUACUAUCUCUUUAUCAAUAACAAGGAUUUAGGUAUUGGAGCUAGCACUUAUGCCGUUCACCUACCAAUUAGCAUGCAACAUGCCGUGUUAGCCUAUAUGCCACUCUAUAAUGAAGCAAACAAAUAAAUAAAUCAAUAAUCUUUUUUAAUUAUGAGUGGUACAAACAAGCAUGAUCAGCACUUGAAACGAUGAAUAAUGGCAUGGGUAAAUUAGGCAAAAAUAUUGAUUGCCUCUAAUGACAUGCUAGUCUAAUUUGCAAUUCACCCACCACAAUGAUUAAUUAAGAUGUCAUCUCAUCUUAUCCGUCUACACCUCUUUCUCUCUGUGAAUGCUCUUUCUUUUUCUUACUAAAAAAACAUUGUGUGCUCAUGUAUUCAAGUUACUAGUUUUGAGCCUCCAUAUAGUGUAGUGGUCGAAUAAACAGCAAGGUCAAAAUCAUUAGGAUGCAAGUUUUACAAGCAUACAUAGUGAAUGUUGUUUUUGCAAUAAAAAUGCAAGCACAAUUUGGGAAUGAAUCUCUUUCCUUUAUUCCAACAAGGAAAAGCAAUCUACUCCACCGGACUAAUAGAGGUCCGAGUCUCAUCUUUCUCAUUCCAAUUAAUAUGUGUGCUUGGGAGUCUUUAUAAUUUUUACAAACCAAAAACUUACCAUGAUUUUUUUUGUCUAUUUUUUCCUUUAUUAGGAAAAAUAUUUAUCCACAUGAACAAGCUUCUUUUUUCCAAAGGAGAAGGAAGAGUAAGUCUUGUUAAUUUGGGCUGUCCAUGACAGGCAUAAUUAUAAGUUCACUCUUGACACACAGUUCCCACCUCUUUCUGUCAUGCAUGCUCAUGUCAAAUGUCUCGGUCUCCCCACCCAACACUUCUUUUCUAUUGUAGAUGCCCCACUUUCUCACGUUUCCAACUUCCUACCUAUCUCUUCGUUUAGUCCAUGUAGCAUCUCCAACAUUCAUCCAACUAUAUUUCAAUUGCACAAGCACAUACAUAUAUAGCUUUCUCUCACUUUCUAUUAUACCUAUCUCCUACAAUUUAUAUAGCCGCUAUUUCUAUCUUAGCCUUCCCUUUUACACUUCCCGCUCCCACCCCCUUAUCUUUAUCUCAUUUCCCUCUUCAGAUAAACCAAAUUCCAUCAUAACUAACAAAGAAAGAUUUAAUCUGUCUCUAUCCCAACCCUCCCUCUUUCUUCUCUAGCUUUCUUUUAUUCAGGUUUUUGCUUUUCCAAAUAGUGCACUAUAUUCAAAUUUCUUAAAUAUUACACUAAUUAGCAAUUACAGAAUUGAUACCCGUAAUUGAAAAGAAAUGGAAAACCAAUAAAAACAAUAGGGGUUUAACAUUAUUUUGUUGAUAUUAUUUAUAUAGACACCUUUUGAUAGACCUCCUUUUGUCUCAUUUUUGUUAUAAAAAAGUGUACAUAUUUAAAUUUCUCAUGUUCCUUAUAAAGAUAAUGCUAUUUCCCAAACAGAUGCAUCGAAAAUUCCAUGCAGAGAUCAGAUCUAGCUUCUACUUUCUUUAGGAAGUCAUCCCAUUAGCUCAUGCCUUAAGGCAUUUGCAGAUAAAAGUGAUGCUUGCACCAAUGUCACACGUAAGUGGAUAUGUUAUUAUGAGAACCAAGGGGAUCGCAUAUGUGGAAACUCCAUAGGUAAUUUGUACAUGCACAUCCACAUUGUCCCCCAUAUGGUAGUAUCUAGGUAAUUAGCACUGUAAUUGGCCCCAGUGCUUUAGGAAACUCAAUUAUGUCAAAGGCAUAACACGGUGAUUGCAUUAGUUUCAAAUCUCUGAAGAUCUUGGUGACCUCAGCCUCUCAAACAGGACACCAAUCUCCACAAGAUUCACAAACAGAAAAGUAGAGAAGUACUUAAUCUAUCCAACAUUUGAGUAUUUACUGAUGGUUCCAUAGCUCAACCUUAUGAGACAGAUGCAGAACAUCUCCUACAUCCAUGCACCUAUAUUUCUAUUUCAUAGCUUAAAAUGCUGCCGUCCAAAUUUCCUCACAUAAUAGAUUGAAUUUAUCUAACUGUCAUACCAAGGCAUCCUAGACCUAUUCUUAAUCCCAUCAAAUUACUAACAGAUGCUAUAGAGCCUCAAUUAUCAUCUUUCCUGCGAAAAGAUAUCAGGUCUUUAACUAAAACACUUCUAAUGAAUCGAAAUUAACCAGCCCUGCUCCAGUAUCGUCAAAUAAAAACCUCAAAAAAAUCCAAAUUCGAAACAAAUGAAACAGAAAGAUGGCUUCGAAAAUGGAACGGAGAGAGAAAACUGGCAGAAGAUGAAUCCGAUACCCAGGGUCGCGACUGCAAAUGUCGCAGAUCUCCAUGUUCAUCGCCCAAUCCGGACCGAUCAGCAUGGUGCUCGUCGCCCGAUUCGCCAACGAGCCCGUCAUUGCUGCACCCCAAUCGAUCCAACAGGGAGAACAGAACAACCAAGAAAGUGGGAGGCGAGAUCCCGGCUAGCCUCGCCCGGAACCUGUUCCCCCGCCGAUCGAAGAGAGGCGGGCACAAACCCUUGGUGGGGGAGAGAGAAAAACCCUAACCGAUUCCCGAGAUCUCUCCUUUCCCGUCGCCGGCGAGGCCCUGGUUUUCUUACGGAUAUUUUAUUUAAGAUGGAGAAGAAAAGGAAAUGGCUCUCGCUGCGGCUGUAUCUUCGCUAGGCUCUCUCCGCCGAUGCGCUGUCUUCUUGUUGGUGAUUUGAUCUAUUAACGACUCGUUUGGAGAAAUGGGAAUAAGUCCAUGUUUCGUUGUAUUUAACGGGUGGGUGGUCCUGGCGUGGCGGCAGCCUCUGCCUCGAUCGCAACGUUAGGAAAGUUUGGAUGAGGGAAUUUAUAAAAUAAAAUUUUUUAUGAUAUAUAUAUAUAGAAAGUGAGAGAGAUUAUUGCAGUUGAUAAAAAUGACAUGAGCUUCCAAAAAAUAAGCAAUAACCAAAUAUAAAAAAUAAUAAAAAAAAAUGUUGGAUUUAUGCUGAUAAUAACAUCACUAAAAUCGCACAUAAGUAUCAUUAGUAUAGUACAUUAGGUUCGCAUGAUUACUGAAAGUAUAGAAAUAUGGAGGCCUAAUGUUUUACCAAUACUUCUCUUCAUAAUUUUGACUAUACCGUAUUAGAUUAGGUCUUAGCACAUACAAUGAAUAUUUGGCAUAAAUAAAAGAUGGUUAAAAUAUUAGUUUUGAGAGGCAUGUAGUUUCAAGAUCCAUUAGAAUUUGAUCAUUAAUUUAGAAAGAAGAAAAAAAGGAAAGGAAAAAUGGUAGUUGGAGGUUAGAAUUUUGUAAGGUACAAACCAAAUAGGGGGGAGGUAAGAUGGAGUGGCAUUCUUAGAAGAUCUUAGGAGAUCAAAGGUCCCUAGAAAAUAUAGAGAAAUGGUUUGGAAUUUUUCCCGUGCUAAUAAAUCUACUACUGAGUUUGCAUUGUUUGUAGGCAUGACCGGCAAUAAAACUUAAAAAAUGCCAAGUUUAACUUGCAAAUCUAAAGGCAAAAUGUAUAGGUAUUAAGGCUUCUUUUUCUUUUUCUCUAGAUUGUAACCAAGAGAUUAUAAACAAAGGAAUCUCCUUCCAGCCAAAUAUUCAUAUCUUUAAAAAUUGAUGGUUAUCAUUCACAUUCCUUCCCAAGAUCUAUGGAGCUCGUCCAUAAAUGUUAUAUAUUGGACUAUAAAACAAUAAUAUAGUAUCAAAAAAAUAUAUUUGAGUACUAAUGGGAAUCUCUAUGACUUGUGUGAAGCUGGUAAUGCAAGAAUUUAUAAGUAAUCUAAGUUUUUUAACCAGUGGCUUACAAAAUGUUUAUCUUCUAAAAACUUUUAUUAUCCAUUUCACUAGAUAACACAACUCCCAUGAUACCUUCUAGUGAGGUUUGUCCAGUGGUUCGUAUUUCUCGUACUUUCUUCGAGUUUUUCAGACCAUUUAUAUACUAAACAUCACACUCUCGUGAGGCACAUCUCAUUAUUUGAGACUCUCUCUCAUAUCUUGCACGUAUCAUGCUCUAGCUUAUAUUGAUGGGAUAAUUAAACUUUAAGAUGUAAAUCAUACUUUGAUUCGCUAAAUCCAUUUGAAAUUUUGAGAUUUAUGAAGCAGCUUGAUCUGCAACCGCGAUCAAAAAUGACUCUGAUCUAAACAGAGAUUAGCAGAGAGGUCUUCUGAAGAGAGCCCUUAAUGCAUGUUUUGGAGAAGGAGUCUAACAGGCUAUUUAUAGCUCUCUCCACGGACCAAACGCCGCAGGUGGUUACAUCCGUCAAGAGUCACCCCCAUCAAGGUAACCCUUCGCUACUGCAAAAUUACCUUAAUGCCCUUAAGAUCAUCAGAAUUUACGAAAUUCAAGGGACACUUGUCAAAUGUAGGUUCUAAUUAAACGGGAUCAGAGUUUAAUUAAACAAGAUCCAAUAUAUAUAAGGUAGAGUCCUUGGCUCUUGUAGAUUUAAUAUGGAUCUUCCAAAUUCAAGGUCUUGUAUGUAAAUUAAGAUCUAAUAAAAGUAUACGAGAAUUUAUAUUUUCUUCAACAUAUCAACUUGCAGACCCGUAAGCAAAUUCUUUUUUAAUUAGGGGCUCAAAAAAAAUUUCUCAAUAUGUUUAGAAAAUAAAGUAAGGCGGCAACAUUUAUCGUCCUCACUUGUUGCUUGCAAACAAACUAUAGUUUAUACCUCUGGUGAUCAAAUAUUAGGGUUUAAACUUUAAAAUUCUCUUAGGAUAGAUUCUGAUACAUCUCCAAAUUAGCCACAACUCACCAUAAAGACCAGCUAAUCAAAGCACACCAUGACUCUAACACGUGGCAGAUCAAAAACCAGUCAUUUUUGACCGACUUAUAUACUCACAUCUUCUGGUGGCAAGUAAACUUCUCCACCCAACAUACACAAAAGAGGAGAGAUAAAUAAUAGAGAACAUUUUUACUAUAUGAGAGAUUGCCUUCUUCUUCUGUUUUAUGAGAACUAUACUGAUUUGGGCAUUAAAGAGUCUUCGAAUAUAUUUGGGUCAAUUUUUUUUUUUUUGGCUCUGUACUAUUUUAGGUCGUGAUAUUGCCAUCUGAUGAAGAUCCCAGCCGCGAUAAUCAAGCACCGCCCAUUUUUAUUUUCCGGCAUCAUUAUAUCUAUGGCGGUUUAAGAUCAGUUAAUUUUUCAGCGGCCACAGAUUCUAUUAUUUUUUACUUUAGCGGGACACGAGAAAGUUUGUUUGGUGCAAGCAAGUGACAACCGAACGUAAAACCCGAAUUGUAACAAAAAAAAAAAAACGUCCAACCCGAAUAUUUUUCUUCCCUCUCUCCCACGCGCUAAAACCCUCCAAUUAGGGUCAGAAGUCGACCCCAGAAUCCUGCUAGCUCCAUGAAUCUCCCCGCAGAAGCCUUGCUUAGGGUUCUUUCUCUCUGAAUCCAGAAACCCUAAUCCCCAGAUUGGGUUUGGUUUUGCUCCCUCUUCUUAUGGCGAUCAUCGGCGACGCGCUUCGCCAGGCGUUCAUGCCGAAGCACGAGUACGAGAGCCUCCGGGAAGAGGAGAAGGCCUGGGGCCGCCUCCAGAGGCCCCUGGCUGCGGCCCUCGCGGUGGCGCUGGGCCUUGCUGUCGUCAUCGCUGUCUCCGUGAGCACGAGCAUCGUCUUCCCCGGGGAUGCCAGCCAGCGGCCGUUCUGCCGGGACCGCAGGAUCCAGGCACUGCCGAUGAACGCCACCCAGGAGCCUGAUAUGUACGGAUACCAUGGCGCAUUCUAUUUGACGGACGAGGAGGCGGCGGACUAUUAUUGGAUGGUUGUCUUCAUCCCAUCGGCGAUCGUCUUCUUGGCUUCGGUCAUCUACCUCCUGGCCGGUGAGCCAGCUUCUUUGGGUUACUUUCCUUUUUCUUGUUUCAUUCUCUUAUCAACUUUGUGAAAUUUCUAGAACAUUGAUUGAAUCCCGAGCGAUUUCUUGGCAUGUCAGAGGUGUUACUUUACAUAAUGCAAAAAUUGUGGAGCGGUUUAUUGUUGAGAUUUAUUGGCAAUACUGACAAGAACAUGCAUAUGGACAUCAUUGAUUGGGUUCAGGGUGGUAGUUCUGUUAAGAAGUUUAUAUUUACUGCCUGCUUGGAUGCCUGAAUAUGUUGUCCCUGUAUAAAUUAUUCCAACAACUGAAAAUUGAGAGAGAGAGAGAGAGAGGAAACAAUGAGAGAGAAGGAAUCAAUGCAACCAAGAAGCUCUGAAAUUACACGACCUCACACACCCCCAUUCCUCUUCAAGGUGAUUGAUGGUAUUCCAGCUUUAGGACUGGAAGACUGGAGAUUUCCUUGAAUGAAUUAAAAUUUUCUCUCUCACAGAUAAUCUGUUCUGACUAUCCACCAUACAUAGGUAACUCUAAGGAGUAAGGAUUAUUUAUGCGGACAUCCAAAUAACCCCUUAGUGGGCGUAAUGAAAGCAAAACAGAGCUGUGUGAAGCUAAAAGAUUUGUUUCAUUUGUGAUGAUACUUGUAAAUUGAAUUUAAGUCUACUAGAAAGUUACGUAAAAUGUAAAGAUUCGGAUAAAUUCUGAUACUUGUUUUACAUAAGCCUCAGAGAAUCAACAUAUUAUAUUUAACUGUUGAAGUAAAUCUUAAUAGAUCUCAUAGCCUAUCUCUGGAAAUUGAUCUGAUUCAAUGUACUUCCAAGCACUAGCUAGAAUCCAACUCAUACUCUCAUGUUCAAAUAACAUUAUAUAUCGAUGUUCAAGAUAAGAAAUGUAAUGGGGUUAGUGGGUUGGCUAUGAUGAGAGAGAUAUGAAACAACAUGAGGUGGUGGGUCAGAUAUCUUAACGAGGAUUUUACUAAUGAUGUUGUUGAAGCUUGAAGCUCCAUCACAUUUUUGUGGUAUAGGGAAAGCUUGGAGCGAGGAUGUUAAUGUCAGCGUGGUUAGUCAUAGUGUCAUCAUGGGAAAUGUCUAGCAGAAGCAAUUGUCAUAUGCUGAUUGUGUUUAGUCUUGCCAAAGCAAGGAACAACUGAAGUCAAUAAUUUAAUAUUUUAAUCAUCGAUGUCUGCAACCAACAUCUUAUGGUAGUCUCUAAACUAAUAGAAAGCUUUCGAACAAGACACUCGUUGAUACUAGCUCAUUGCUUAGCAAUGAGAUGGUGUGAAUAUACAAUAGUAUAAAGAUGGUGAAAAUGAUUGAUCGACAUAUUGUGAAGAGGUGGAGUUCCCAUUCCACUAAAGCAAACCAUUUUACAAUCUGACUUUGGAGAAUAUAUUCGACUUAUUAAACUAUUGGACUUAUGAAAUAUUAUCCAGGGAAGUACACUUGUGGUAAAUUUUUCUUAGCUCAUAUAUAUUAACCUUCUACAAUCUGGAAAUGCUUAAACAGUUUAACAAUACCAUACAUUUGUAAAUGCAUCUAAGAAAGGGAUGCUGGAUUGUUGUUGGAAAAUUGACUUAGGCCUUUUUUAGUUGGUGGUCGGAGUAAUUUGCUGAUAAAAUCUAUGCCUGGUGGGAUUCUCUCUAGAAGUAUGAAAGAAGGAAGAAGAUUUCAGCUAUCAAUCUCCCAAUCCCUGCCUUUUUUGUAUAAUCUAAAUCACUUAUGAGAUAAAAUAUCUUACAGCAAAAAAAUUGGGAGCGAGAUGAAAUGGCUGGCUAGCAUAUCAUAAUCAAAACUCUUUCUCUUUUCACUUCUCUCCAAGAAAACCCUCAAGGGUGAGGAUUUAUCCAAGAAUAAUCUCCUCCCAUAUUCAAAUGGGGCCGUUAGAAAAAAGUAUAUGGGGAACUUGGAAUGCCAUAUGGUCAUCAUGUAUUUAAGGGUUAUGUCAUGGCCACUUAUUUUCUAGGCUUGUUAAUUGUUACUUAUAAGGAAAGUCUUUGGCUUAAAAUUGACAUAUAGGGAAUGUAAUGCAGUUGGGCUAUAGUAGCAUGUUGGUGAUUUGUAUUUAGUGAAUUUUUCCUUGGAAAGAUGCCCACAUUCUAUGGAGUGUGGGAGUUCAUUUUAAGCCCACAUUCAAGUCUUUGCUUGUGAAGUAAAACAUUUUAAGAUUCAGUUAUGACUAUUUUUGGUGGGUUUGUAUCCUAGUAAAUGGUCUGUGUUCCAAGACCAGUCAGGAGCCAUAGGGGCGGGUCCAAGGGAGAGCCAUGCCACCCCUCCCACUAGCUAUCAAGAUUCCUAUUUAUGCUUAUUGCUCCAGGCUUCGAGCUCUCAUGUCCCUCCUUCUGUACCGCAAGUUAAAAAAAUGCCAAACGAAGCCUUCUAGAUUGGGCAAAUCCUUCUAGUUUCUCUAUUGAUCCCUUACAAGUAGCUCAUCUCCAUUUAUUCCUCCAUUAUGUUCUAAUCAAGAUCAUUGUUUCCUUUUAUAAAGACAAACAUCCAUCCAAAUGGGGAGGCUCUUGAAUUGUAUAAUGUGAUCUUAGUAACUGCUUAGCCUUUUCUACAAAAAAAUACCUCUUAUCUUGUUGCCCGUGCAGACAAGAAUAGUUUGUUAUUUGAUGGUUUGACCCCAUUGGUUUUCUCAUUCCCUCCGAAAACCUAUUUCACAAUCAUGGUCCCCAUUGGCAUUUUUGUUCCCAUGAGCUCACCUUCACCAAAUUCUACUCUUUUAAUGAGACAUCAAAUUUUUGAAGGUGAGUGUUCUCUGCAUUAAUGUAACACUAGAAUGCGACAUAUGCGAUUCAUGUAGGUGAACAAAAAGAGCAUUUAAUGAAUGGCCAUGAUUAGAUGAUAGAAGGAUAAGAUGAAUAUGUGGAAACAAAAUGUAAAAGCUUUUGGCGAGGGCCAUGAUUAGUGAGGCACAUGAUAGAUGGGUGUAUUAAUUUUACCUGAAAAGGUAGGAAAGUUAAGAUUGAUGAGGGAAAGAGGGAGAACAAUGCUCAUUAGAACCUAGGCUAUUGGAAUUACAUAAUAAUAAAAUACUUUGUGCGAGUCUUUGAAGGCCAAAUGCGUGCUAGACUCUGGGACUUUUGCAUUAUAUAUAGUAGAGAUUUUCAUUUAAAAAAUCACAAAAUAACUAGAUCUUGCUCUGUGUCUACAUGAUCUUAUUUGUGUUGUUUUAGUCUUAGAACAAAUUCUUUAUAAGAAGCUAUUUGUGCCACAAUGUUCAAACCCUUCUGGCUAAUAAGUGGUGGCUCUAGGUUCAAGCCUAGGGUGGUGCAACCCAAAGUAUUUGGACCUAGGUCAUUGUAAUAUGGGCUGGUCUCCCUUCCCUUGUUCUAUAAAAAAGUUCAGAAAAAUCAAUAACCACAGCCAUAACCACAACCAUAACCAUCAACCCUCAUCCCACCUCUAUUUAGGGCCACAUCUUAUGUAAUAUUGAGCUUUGUAUAAGAAUCAAUAAGUAGCAAAUUUUAUUUGCCUAAUUAGAGCUAGGUACUGUAUUUAAUUUGAAAUAGAAGAUAUUACAUCAAAUUGCGAAGAUGGAAGAGCUUCAAUGGAGAAAAUGCAUGAGCUGUGUUGCAAAUCUAACUAUCCUAGCCAAUUAGCUCGACCCAAAUCCCAUUCAUAUUAUGCAUUUCAACUUUUGUUUUAAGUAUCAAUUUCAAGCUUUAACCUGAAAUAUCACAUGUAGGUGGUGUGAGUUUUGUAGCAAUAGUGGUGCAACUGGUUAUUAGGAUUUGAUAUGGCAAAGCUUCUUCCAUUACAAUACUCUUCACUUUGUCUGAUUUAUAGACAUAUGAUUUUGAUCUAAUGAAUAAUUUGAACCUAAACUAGACUUGUAUAUCUCAUAAAAAAUUAAUUUAGAUAUAAAUUCAUAUUUGACCCUACCAAAUAAUUAACCCUAACUUCUCUCUUAAAGAAGCAAAGGAUUUUUGACUGUUUUGUGUUUGUAAUGCUAAAGUAUGCAAUUUUGGUAGAGCUGUGGAUGGGUUUAGCAUGCCUGCAUAUCCUUUAGAUAUAUUGUUAGUCACUAAUGCUUGUUUUCUUCAUUAACAAAUUUUGGUAUCUUUAAAACACCGUAUACUUUAUUUUCGUUUAACUUUAUUAUGAUUUGAUUGUUGAAGGAAGAUCUUUUGUCACAGAAACUGAACAUAUGAAAUAAUUUAAUGCAAAAUAAAAAUGAAUAUGAGGCCCUAAUUAAGAUUGAUAGACAAGAUUCCACAAAGCAAUCAGUUUCAUUGCUUAAUAUUUAUUAUACAAAAUAAUGAACACACACACACCCAUAAAUACUACUAUGUAAUGGCGAAGGCCUACAGUCUAAUAUUUGAGGCUAGCCUCUAUGUCUCAUGCAGUAUAAACAUUGUGUUCACUCAUAUUUUUCAUAUAUAUAUAUAUAUAUAAUAUGUAUGGAUGUAUAAAUAUGUAUUACAUAUAUGCCCGUUUGUGGUUCACAUGCCAUGAAAGGGAGAAAAAAACAGUGUUUUCGAGAUCGUAGCAUCUAUUUCCUCUUUUGGAAAACCUGGACUCUCAAAUUUCAGUAAGGAAACUAAUUUGAAAAAAACAAAAACAAAAAAUGUAUAUCUCAAAAAAAUUAAGGCUGUAGAUCCAAAAUAGUUGCAUCUGAAAACAAAAAUUACGUAUCUCAAAAAAUUGGUGAUCCCGGAUCCCAAUACAUUUGCAAUCUAAACUAUUAACUGGAUAGAAGAUCACAUUCAUCCCUUCUAUCUCAUGCGCGGCUCACGUGCCAAAAUCUAAUGUGUGCACAUGCAUGAAUGUUAAUCGGCCUGCAUGUGCAUAGCUGCUUUUGAGGUAUUAUGUAAUCAAAGUUAUCUUGCAAUAUAAGAGGAAAAUUUAUAGAAUGAUAAUAAGGCCUAGAAUAUUUUAUAGCUCAGAAUGUCGGGCAAUAGAAAAGGUCUGGGAAAACCAGUUGGAUAAAGCAUUUAAACAAAAACAUUGAGACGGAAAUGCUGUAAAACUAGAAAAAAUUAGAGUGAGGAAUGUAUAUAUUGAGGAGCUAUCUGAGUUUAUGUUAUAUGGACUGAGCAUGAGUGUGGAGUGUGGGCAUGUAUCCGAGUUUCAUAUCCUUUAAUCUCUAAGAGGUUCUUCUAAUUGACACAUGUUCAAUUUUCACACCAAUUCACAUUUCCAAGUUCUGGGUGUGGGAAAUCUGGGUUGAAAUGUCCAAGUAACAUAGGUAGGAGCUGUUCCAUUUAAAACUGAAGUGAUUGGGAACCAAUUAAUAUGGUAUACUCACAUACGAUGAAGAUUUGAAGGGGGCUCCAAUAAGGAGGGUUGCUUCCACCUUUGUUAAAUGAAUUAAGAAGGGACGGGGAGACAUAAGAUGACAUGAAUGGAAGUUGUGGUUUGUGAAAAGAAUAUAAAAGGCUCAAGUCAGAGGUAGCCUAAAAAGAAACGUUAGGUGAAUGAGGAUCUAUAAAGUUAAGCCCAAAUAGCUGGGACAAUGUUUGAGGGCUGUAUUAAUGGUUGAAUUGAGCUAAGAUGAUUAAUCAAACAAUUCUUAUUGUAAAAUAACCCAUGCCAUUAAUUGCUGAGAAUAAUAAAGUCCUGUACUGUGAAGUUUAUAUCAAGAUGUGGCUCUAAAAAAAAUUGGUAUAUCUAGAUUUUACUUGUCAUGCGCCACUCUUUCAUCUAGAUUUUUCUAUUUAUAUAUUAAAAAACAGGUUACAAUUGGUUCUGUGACUUUUUCCUUUGGAGUUUCUGAAUGUGUUCUUUUUCUGUGGUGGCUGUUGCUUAUCUGUUUUAUGUGGCACUGUCUCAUUUUAUUACUUUAUGUUGUUUAUAACGAAAGACAAGAAAUAAAUACCAUUUAAUUGUGGUUUUAUCUUUGUUGUUCUGAAUUUGUUAUUGAUUUCAUGGUUAAUUAUGCUGCAGGAAUAGCUGUUGCUUAUUCUGCUCCAAGAAGACACAUAUGCCUCAAGGUAGUUGAAAAUAACUAUUGUGCAUCGAAGAGAGGUAUGGUGAUGUUGCUCUCAUAGUAAUGCAGAUGUCUUGAUAUUAUUUUUUUCCUUGUUUGAUAGAUGAUGGAUGUAGCUUAAAGUAUGUCUGCAGUUCGUAUUUAUGUUGUGUAGUUUUAUUCUCUGGGUUUGAAUAUUUCCCCCCGCUGUUUCCUUUCCUGUAAACAGCAAAGUGGGAUUGCAAAAGAGUUAAUCUUAUGAUCUUUCAACUCUUGUGGUGUUAUUAUGUUCUUGAAGGUUGCAAGUGGUUUCUAGUCUGUCCUGUUGGCGAUAAAGAUAAGGUAGUCAUGAUGCUUGUUUUGCCUAUUUUUUUGGAACUCCAAUUUCUAUGUUCACAUUAUUCAUUAUGUUCACAUUAUUCAUUUACUUUUUCCUAAUCCAGUCGUACUCGGAUCAGGCUUGGUAUAACAUUUGAGACAGAUUGUUCAAUUCUAACCAUUUUGAUCAACUCUGAUCAACUCUUUUUCCACUAGGAGGUGAGGACACGGUGCUGAGUUGCAUUGCUAAAUGAAUUAUCAAAAUGUAUUUUGUUUUGGGAUGCAUCUCAUGCAAAAAUCUUACUUCUGUGGUUGGGCCCAAUUAAAAAGUUUGUCAAAAAUCCAAUCCUGUGGUGUUGCAUCUGAAUUGUGAUUGGAAUUUAUCUCAUGCUGCUAAAAUCUUACUUCUAUGGUUGGGCCCAAUAAAAAAAUUUGCCAAAAAUCCAAUCCUGUUGCAUUGCAUGUGAAUUGUGAUCCAAAUACCUGUGUGGAGUGAUGCAAAGUAAAUUAGCAACAUGUUUGCUCCCCCACAAUGAAAUUGAUUUCUUUUGUACCUGUAGUCAAAACAUAACCAUUUUCUAAAUUGUAACAUAAUCUUGUAGGUGGGGUACGUUGUCUAUCGAUACUCAAUGUUGUGUUUGCCGUGAUCUUUGGUCUUCUUGCACUAUUUCUUGGAUCAAGCCUCCUCACAUUAGGGAGUAGUUGCUCUGUCCCGCUCUUCUGGUGUUAUGAGAUUGCCUCUUGGGGUCUGGUAAUCUUGUAUGGUGGUACUGCCUUCUUUCUGAGAAGAAAAGCAGCAGUGAUCCUUGAUGAGGGUGAGUAUGCGGGGCGAAACCUUGGAUUGGAGAUGUUGGAAUCAGCCAGAGAAGUGACACCAGAAAUGGAGAGGCGUGUGAAUGAAGGUUUUAAGGCAUGGAUGGGAUCUUCCCUCCUUUCUUCUGAUGAAGAAGAAGAGCCUGAUUUUUUUCUAGAGGCGGCUGAACCAAUUCUGACCGACUCUAACCUGCAAAGAGGGUGAAGUUUGUCAUUUGGAAUUCUGUAAAUUGUUCCUUGUCGGCUUUAUUUUUUAAUUCUUUUUCCAAAAUUUCCAGUUGGUUUAGAUUGUAAUUAUGCAAAAUCACCAUCGUUUCUGCUGUAAUAUACUGAGUGGUGAAUUUAGAUACACAUCCAUACAAAAGAAUUUGGAAUUCAUAUGACCCUUCAGAUUGAGCCUCCAUUUGUUUGAGAUGCGCAGCUGUUUUGAGUAUGAGCUGUCAGUGGGAAGGAAUAAAAUCCGUGAGUAACGACUGUUCUAUGUGAUUCAAGCUUGAAGUUGCAUAAUGCUUGUACUAAGCCAUGUUCAUUAGUGCAAUGGCGUGGCAACUAUAGAACUUUGGCAACUAUUUCUUAUUUGUUGUUACUGCAAGAUCCUCACUUCUUUCAUGAUUUAACUUGCAGUGUGAUUGCUAAUAUGAUUUUGUUUUUGAACGUGCCACUCAUGACAUUAUGUUGAUAGGUGAGGCAUGUGGUUUGGGACAAUCUGAUGUUACGAUUUUUGGAUGCAAUCCAUACAAUUAAUUUGCUGUCCAGAUUGCGUUACAUAUAAACUCGUGGGUCCAACACAAAUUGGAAUAACAAGAACUCAGGCUGCGUUCUGGCUAGCGCAGAGCUCGCAGCAGUACUAAUGCAGCAUACGAUUUCUUUUUCUUUGUAGCAAAUGAUUGUGAUAUUUCUAUACUUAAAGCUGGAGACUGACAUGAAAUGGGGUUAUUCCAUGUCCCCAUGCUCGAGCAGUCAAAAGCAAAAAAAAAAAAAAAAGAACCCACAUUGAAACUAGCAGUUCUCCUGACGUCCUUCACGGUUUAAUCCAAACAAUUCCCCUCUCCUUCUCCACUUUGUUAGUUGGGGAUCGUACUACGUCAACACGAAGUAACAGCCGUGGGAAAUGGAAAAGGUAAAAGGCCGAGCGAACAUGGCUACUGUAGCACGAUGCUCCUUGUUCCAUUCCUUCAAUGAGAGAACGAGUUCACGGGCCUUGAGAACAUCUCGUCAUGUUCUGCGCCUCUGUAUCCUUCUAACUUUGUACCAUUCAAACUCACUCUCCUAUCAGGCUUUCAGACACAACCACCAUUACUUGCUUUCUCUUCUUGCACCAUAAUGAGGCAGGAGGAGGGGGAGGAGGGACAAAAUCUCUCAGGAGAGAUAGAGAUGGAGAAGGGGAAGGAGAAGCAGGAGGCAGCCCCUGUCUCUGCAAUGCCGCUCCCAAAGUCCCCGUCCUUCUUAAACCCAGAAGAACCGGGAACAGAGGCUGAUCGCUUCCAGCAAGCUCUACUGGUUGAUGACCUCUGAUUCUCCCUCCUUUCUCUCUUAUAUUUCCAUUUUUCCUAAAAAAAAAAUUAUGAAUGCAUGAUGACUUGAGCUCACAAUGAAGUAGUUACUCGAUACCAAGUGCAGGAACUGAAGGACCUGCGCUCUCAACUCCACCAGGCAGCAGAUUACUGCGAGAAUACGUUUCUAAAGACCGGGCAUGGAACAAUGUAAGCUCAUCUACUUCAGAACAAUACGUUCUGUUAUUUUCUUUCCAGGAAAUUCGAUCUUUUUUUUUUCUUUUCUUGAUAGAGGUGAUUAAUGUUGACUCUGAUAUGCUUCUCUACUAUCUUGGUUGAUGCCAUUAAUUUAUUCCAACGCACAAUGGCAUAAUAACAUCCGGAACGUGAUAUUCUCUUGUUUGUUAACAUGGGAAGAGAGUUGGAGAACGCAAAGAGCUACAUUUGUCAUGCAAUCGUAGCUGUGGUCGAUCAUCUGGGCAAUGUUUCCUCCAAGCUUGAGCACCAACUCCAGGGCAAUAUCGAGGUUUUGCAAACAGAGCAAAAGAUUGAUUGCUUAAAACAGGUUAGUUAAUAGUCAUCUGCUCAAAUUCAUCAGCAGCCAAACUUUGGUGCAUCCAUACAUAGAUAGUAGCCAGGAUAAAAUGGAUAAAGAUUUAGAUGCGUUGGACCCAGGCCCAAUGAAUCGAUAAUGAAGCAUUUAAUGCAGUCAUUUCUCAUCCCUGGGUUGGAACUCUGACAUAGUCUGUGAAGGCCCGAUCUAAAUAGAGAAUCGGAUUUUUCCACGGACUCCCAAUGGGAGUCGGAUUUUUCGACACUCCCGAUGGGUUCUGAAGUCGAGGGGAACCCUCUAUUUAAAGCCUUCUCUCCUCUUGAAGCGUCCAUCGUUGCCGGCUACAAGCCUUUCUUCUUCUUGGUUUCCCAGAGGUUCCCUCACCUGUGCCCGUCGGAAUUCCGGCUCGUUGCCACUGGCUGAGAGAUUUGAUCCUAUUUUCCACCCCUAUUACCGGCCUUGCUUUCCUUAUCAUUUUCGGCUGCCACCCUUGCUGGCAUUCGCCGCUGAAACUUUUGGUCUCUCCUCGUCGACCCAUGACCAGACAACGGAGCCCCAGCCGCCGACGAGCGGGAUGGGACCCGAAAUCGACCGAGCCAAAGGAUCCUCUGUUCGGCUCUAGUAUUGGACCGAUCCUUGUGCCUCUUUUUGCCCGGUCGCUGCUGCUGUCGGCUGUUCUGAUGCCAACUGUUGUCAGACCAUGGGCUGCACUGUUGUCUGUUAUGCCGCCGCAUAUCGCAGGACCACCAUUUUUUGUCUAAAUUUUUAAUACUAUUAAAAUUAUUGAAUAUUAGUUACUUGGACUUUGAAUGAUUUGAAUAAGUUUAACUGGUUCAUGCAGUUGAAUUUUGAGGAUUAAUGUGAAAGAGGUAAAUAGUCCUUACAUUCUUUAGUAGUUUUUGAACAACCAUUGUCUAGUCAUGGGUCGACGAGGAGUGAUAAGGAUUUCGGCGACAAAUGGCAAUAAUGAUGAUAGCCAAAAAAAAGAGAAGGAAAGCUGGUCGAUAAUAGGGGUGGAAAUAGGGGAGCAAAUAGGGAGUUUUCUUGGUCAAUUUUUGGCAAAUCUUUCAGCGGGUGGUAGUGAUUCAAGCCUAAAGAAGGUAGAGAAAGUAAAGAGAAGAGAGAUCGGGGUUUUACCUUGGCUUCAACGAGCUUGGUGAUCGGGAUUCCAACGAGCUCAAGUGAGGGAACCUCUAAGAAAACAAGAAGAAGGGCUUGUAGCUGGCGGCAAUGGACCCUUCAAGGGAAGGGAAGGUUUUUCUUUCGACUUCUUCAGGACUGGAUGAUCGACUGCCGCCGAGAAUUGUUGAAAAAUACGACUCCCUUUGGGAGUUGCUACCCAAUACUAUCAUGCAUGGGAUAUGCCUAGCAUGACUGGGCCCAUCCAAUUCUAGGUCGGAUCUGUUGGAUCGAGUCUUCACAUUCUCCUCUUCUUAAAAGAGUUUCAUUCUUGAAACUUAACUUAAGGCUUUCUAUGAGGAUCCGUGCAGGCGUAUGUCUAGUCCCACGUUGGUUAUUUGCCGGAGAGAUCUUGGGUAUUUAUAUAGGACUAAGAAACCUAAAAAAAUAUCUUUCUACUAGCUAUUCUAAAUGAGGUCCUGGGUUGUGAUAUAAUAGUAUCGGAGCGGAUCCGAUCUAUGGCUCAUGUGGACUAGGAGACACUGUAGCAUAGGCUUAUUGAGGCUCACCACAAGUCGAUCAUAGUGCUUGUGAUUAGAUUUGAAUGAAUUUGAACCCUUAGCCCGACAAGAAUGUUGGGGCUUAAACGGAAGGAGUAUGUGAGGAUCCCUGCGGGCGUGUUUAGUCCCACAUCGGUUAUUCACCGGAGAGAUCUUGGGUAUUUAUACAGGACUAAGAAACCCAAAAAAUACUAUCUGGUUAGUCUUUUUGUGUGAGAUCUUGGGUCGUGACACUUUCAAACUUUGAGGUUCCUUGUCUCUGUAUAAGUAUCCAAUAUCUACCCAAUCCAUAACCUUUGUGGGACUAAAUACAUCCGCAUGAAUCUUCAUAUACUCCUCUCGUUUAAGUCCCAGCAUUGUCGCCGCGCUAAGGGUCUAAAUCCAUGCAACUUCAUUCACAAGUAUCAUAAAUCCAAUCAUAGACACGGUGAUUGGCUCAUGGUCAGCCCCAAUGGACUUGUGCUAUAGUGCCCUUUGGUUCACACGGGCCAUGGGUCGGAUAUGCUCUAACACCAGUUUGUAACAACUUAGAACAUCAUCCAAAAAAACUAGUUGGAAGGUAUUAUUUGGGUUCUUUAGCCCUAUAUAAGUAUCUAUGAUAUACCUAGUGCAUGGCCAAUGCAGGACUAAACACAUGUUCGCACAAGUCUGCAUAUAGUCCUUAGUGGUGCGAAGAACUUUAACAUAUUUGUUCUUUUAUUGGUCAUAAGGACACAAGAGAGAUAUUUUUCUUUUAAAAUCAUAUUCUUCAGUGCUGUCACCUCAGUAACAGUUCUUGCUCUCAGGUUUUUCAUCAACAAAAAGAACAUCNNNNNNNNNNGGCUUAUAUCCCAUCGAUCAUGCAGAAAAAAGCUCAAGUCAUAUGAGCUCAUCAAAAAAUCAGAUAUGAUCAUAGAUAUCAUCAUAUGAUAAUUUGGUUAGAACAUUAUCGCAUCUAGUUAGUUUAUCUAUAUCUCAUGGCAAUAGUAUUACUACAUCUGUAAUAUAGACGGCAUGAUGUACCUCCUAUUUUUCUUAGGUUGGCAAACGCUUCCAUCAUUCCAGAGUUGUCUCAUGUACAAAGUCAAGAAAACUCAUUGUAACUCGAAUUAAAUUAUGCAUCUCUUCUUUUAAAUAUAUGAAUUAUCUAAUGAGCAUCCUCUGCACAGAGGCUUCUCACAUGUCAACAAUAUGCUGUAAGUCUCAAGCUCUCUGCCGUGCGAUGGAGUGCCAAGUUGCCACGGCAUCACCAGCAUUAUCUCUCACCAUGUAAGCUAUCUUCUAUCCAUUCUUGAUGCCUUUUUUUAUAAUUAAAUUCUGAACAAUGCCAUCUCUACCAAGAAUUAUGAGUUCAGCAUAUUGAUCUUGUAGUUUUAGUUUGAAAACUCAUAUGAGACCAAUUAUUGUAACAGAAUCAUCACCUUUUAAUCUGCUGAAAUUGUGUUGCACGGUAAAGGAAAAAAAGAAAAAAGAAAAAAAUCUGUAAGAAUGUUUUAUUAUUUUCAUACAGUCCGGUACUAUAUUAAUGAUAAGCUGUGAAUUUGUUUUUUUCGAACUUCAUUAUACUUGUAUGUCACCAAAAUAUUUUUCUUUGAACAGUGGCUCAGCAUCCUGAAAAGUCGAGUGGUAUCUCCAGGUUUCCUUUACUUCUCAGUUCUCUGUGUGUUUUUCUUAAUUCCCCAAGUUCUAAAGCUCAAUUUACAUUCCAUAAGUGCUAUUAAUUUAAAAAAAAAGACAUGUCAAGAAUCUAACUGAAUACAUGCAUGCACAGAAAUGAGGCUGCUGAUAAAAAAGCAUCUGAAACACCUAGUAAGAAAGAUCAGUUGGCAGUGGCCAUUUGUCCUCCGGUCUCUGUUGCAGGUGAUAGUGUCAAGCUUCCAAAUUUGGGUUCAGGUAAGCAAACUAGUGAAUCUAGACAAAAUGACCUGUCAGUUUUCUUGUUGGAGUUCUAAAGAAGCCUGAGCCAUUUGCAGGACAAUAUGCAUAUUCCCAUAGUAUAGUUUAUUUUUGGAUUCAUGGUUCAAGUCUCACAUAGACUUUUACCUGCAUUCCAAGUGCACUUGAGCCAUAAACCAGAUUCACAUUUAUUUAUUUAUUUUUGAGCAAACCGGUGGAAAUCCACCACAGCAAUUCAGUACAUGUUUUUAUUUAUUUAUUUAUUUGUCUUUCACAUCAUGGUAGAAUGUAGUGAGUUUUCGUUUUCUUUUUUUCUUUUUUUUUUGACAGAGCUGUUCUGGCUCUUUAUAGUUCGAUAUUUGUUGUAGGAACACAUACCCAUUAAUUCAUAUUUAACUAGGAAAGGCAACUGGUCUAUUUUGGAGUGGAGUGGGUAUAUCGUACUAUACCAGUUCGGUAUCGAUACCCAGUACGGGUGGCGUAUCGAUAUUCAGUAUGCUAAAAAAAUUCUGCAUCGUACCAUACCAAUAUUUUGCUAGUGUGGCACCGGUAUGGGGUCCAAUACCAAGACAACAAACAUUGAUUUGAAGUAUUGACUCUUUUUGCUUUCCAGGAAUAACAUCCAGCACAGCUAUCCCAGUUCUUGAAGGCCCAUCUAUACUUUCAAAGCCAUCCAAUUCUUCAUUUGGUUCCUACACGGAUGUAAGAUCUUACUUUUCUUUGGACAACUUCACUAUCCUUAUCCAGAGGAAUAUUAUUUCUAUCCUAUAAUGAGUGAUCAGGAGCAAGAGCACAAAUAAUUCAACAAAGAAAAAUUCAGUCUAUGUUCCAAGACUGCAUUACAAUUGUUGAAUGAGCAGAGCACUUCAUUUACCAUGCUAUUGGUUCUAUAAUGUAUGUUGGUAGAAAGUUUUCUUUGUCUUGCAUGGGAUUAAGCUUGAGUCAUUCAUUACCAUAUUGUAGUAGGUGCUUACGUAAAGAAAGGAAAAAGAGUACUAUAUUAAAUAAUGACAAUUGAAUUUUAUGCAGGAUGUUCAUCUUCUGCUUGGUGGGGACCAGAAGAAGAAGUCCCUGCAAGGGAUUAAGUUCUUGUCAUUUAUACGGACAAGUGCAAGAAGUCAUAGAAAAGGAUGGUGACAAUAUUUUUAAUCAAAAACAUAGAACUCUAGUUUGCGGACAUAUUCCUUUUUACUGCUUUUAUAUAUAGCUAAAACAUGUUUAUGAUAUAUGGUGCAGAAGUUUUGCAGAAUUUGGAUCCAUGUUCGACUCAACAAAAUGAAUGAUUCUAUUUUCUUUUCUAUCGAGGCACCUUUUUUUUGAGAGAGAGAAAGGAAUGGAGACCCACCUGCACUAAUCAUCCAGGUUCAGUUUUUUUGGGAUGCAUCAUCCAAGAAUCGAACCAAGAGCUUCUGGAUGCUAAGCAGAGGGGUGCGAGUCUUGCAGCCACUGGGACGAGCCCCAGUUCACUUUCUGCCAAUGCAUGGAUCAAAUACUAAGAAGCAUCUCUGGGACCUGCUAUCCCAUGUUUUUUAUGCCUAAUUCCUGUCCUAAGCAAGUGCGAUUCCAGUCUGUGUAAGUGAAUAACUGCCCCAUACCAAUUAGCUUGGAAAGAAACUUCUAGCCUAAUGUAAUGUUCCAUCUAUUUUGCUGAAAGUAAUUAAAUUGUCUCAGAUCUAACGUAAUAUGUGGUUCGAUGAUCAUGUAAAUGUGAGUUUGAUAUGAAACAUGUAACGAGCUACACAAACUCCUAGUAGGUGAAUUGACUGAGAGGUAGUGAUAAUAGACCAAAGAUGCAAUUGGAUCUUCCGCUUAUUUUACACUUCAGAAAUGAGCUGAAGAUAUAGGUAAGCUUUCCAAUGGCCAAGAGAUCCUGCAUGAAUGUUGAAUAUUGAAGUAAAAGCCUAAAUAUGCCUGACCAGAAAACAAGUCUUGGUUAUGUGUUAUUGAUGUUGGAAACAUGCAAGCUCUUUUCUUGGAGAAAACUUGACAUCUUCUAGACUAGUUUCAUUAUGACUCAGAAUUGAUUUCAAAAAUUUGUUUUCAUCAAAUCUCUAAAUAGUGUAUACCAUCUAAAAUUGAUUUUGGAAAUAUUAAAAGGAAAUAUAACAGUGUUCACAAUCAUCUACUUCAACACUAAAGGUUUAAGGGGAAAAAGGUGAUCAUCAAUUUACUUAUUUCUUAUUGUAAACUCAAAAUCAAAAGAAUAUAAAUGAACCUGGAAUUUGUUGAAUUAUUCAAUUCAAAUUGAAUUAUCAACUGCCAUUUGGCUGGGCAAUCAUUACUAGUAAUUCUGGCUUCAAGCAGGUGAUUUGCAGCCUGCAAUCUGAAUGGAAUCCUAUUACAGGUUUCGUCGUUCCAUAGCUUCUCCUUUAAUGCUUAGGCCUGGACUCUGUAAUGGAGCUUCUGGCAAAAUUAUUCCCUAUUACACCCACUCUCAUGAUGCCAAAUAUUGGUUAUCAGUCACUUUGAUGCCAAAGGUUGGUCAUUGGGCCCCACUCUGGGUGAUUAGGAUGUGUUCUGGUAAUUUAUGGAAAAUUUUACAUCAUAAUUAAAAUCUGUGAUAUAUGAUAAGCAUCGGUAGAUUUCAUUAACUGAGAAGGAGAUAAGCAAACUUCCAAAUGUAGGUUCAUUAGGAUGUUUUCAUGAAAUUUAGUGACUCCGUCUGUUCCACAGUCUACUAUUAAAUUUAUUGAGGUCCAUUGAAAUUACAAUGAUGAAAAUGAUAGCGUUCAUCAAAUUCGAAAACAUAUACUUGUCUACCAGUCUGCAACUACCAAUCCCAAGGUAAAAUAGGAAUUACAUGCUGUAACCCUUGAUGAAUUCGCUUACCCAAAGUUAUUCAGAUUUUCAUUUUAAUGGAUCUCAUUCAGUGUUGCAGGCAUGGACUGCAACAUUUGUAGCCAUCCAUACCUUUGCUAUUGCUAAGGACUAAUGAAAUUUGGUACUAAGAAGGUAGCCUAGUGUAUGCGUCCGUUUGCUUAUGACACCAUAGUUGAAUUAUUUAGCCUUCUCAGGUGGGAGACAAUUAUCUAAAUUGACUGAGACAACUAAUUAAUGACCAACCAUGAACAAUAAUUCUUAGGUUGGAAAAUCCUUUGCAAAUCACUGGUUCAAAAUUGAUUGACAAAAAAGCAUGAUUUGAUCUGAGAGCUGCUAUCAACAUCUGAGUUGGUCUUUUGCAUCAAGGAAUCCUUUAAACUACUUCAGAGGAAUGAUGGCCAAGUCACCAACAUAACACGUACUAGAAAAGGAGGAAAACAUGAAUGGAGAAGACUGGUAGUUUGGCAUGCUAUCCAGUUUCAUUGUACCAAUUGGCUUUACAUUAUCUGAGUCCAUUAGAUAAUUUUAGAUGAUUAAAGUGAAUUAUGUGUUUAAAAUUGGUUAUCGAUACACCAACGGUAGGAGAGAGAAGUUUAGAGCCAUUUCAUCAUACUCCUAUUGAGAUCAUGCUCGUGUUGUUAUUGAGAAAACAAUUCAGUUUACUGAAAAAGAAUAUGAUAGGAAUUGGGUGUGUAGAUUACCAUUCUCCAUUUCAAACAAUAAAUUGGUCAAUAUAACUGUUUAGAAAGUGAUGCAUCUUUAACUACCAAAUGCAUAUUGCUAUUAGCUCAAAUAAAGAACAAAAGGAGAGGGGACAACUUAGGGCUCAUAUGUUACUUUCAUAAUUGGCAAAUUGUGCAGAUAUUUGGAAACUUCAAUAUGGUACUGAAUUAUUCUAAACUACAUCAUAAAAAAUGAAAUUUAAUCCUGAUUCUUUACUAAUAGAGAGAAAAAUGUGUGCUAUAAAUAGACAAAAUCUUAAGAAUAGUUAGUCCUUGUUCCUGUGGCAGAUACUUGGACCUCCAAAAUAAGAAUCAACCUAUCUAUAUGUCCCUUUUACCUUCUGGAAAUGCCACUCUGAUAAGAUGUUAGCAACCUGAAAAGUUAUAACAAAUAGGAAGACAUGGCUUACAAAUGAAACAAUUAAUUCAGUUCAUGUGACCAGAGAAAUGAGCGACUCUUGUAUAAUUUUCUUGUUAUAACUGAUGGCUUAUUGGCCACUAGCCAUGUACCAUGAUGCAAUAUUGUCCUGCAUGACAUCGUCUGCUUUGAUGCUUUUUUUUUUCCUUUUCCUUCCAAGUUUUGCUUGAUUAAUAGCGUUAGCCUUGUAGCAUAAGAAACCAAAAAGCUUCUGAAGGAAGAAAUGGGAUAGCUUUCUUAAUUUCCUUGCCCUUAAUGCAUGGAAGGUAGGUCCAAACAAAAUCAAGAAGAGGCAAAAGAAAGAGGUCUGGAUUUCUAUUAUCCAGAAACGACCAAUGGGAAUAAAUGCCUAUAGCUUGUGCUACUAGAUUUCCUUCUUGUGUUCAUUACCAUAUCUACCAUUCCACAACUAACUGAUUCAACCACCUUGUUUGCCACAUGAUGAUUUGUUUUAAAAUUUGGAGUGCAAAGUUUGCCCACUUGUCGAAUUUCUACCCAAGCUUCAACCAAAUGACUCAAAAUUCUCUUCCUUGUUUUUUUCCCAAAAAAAUGAAGGCUUAUCUAAAAUAUUUUCAACUUUUAUAUCCAGUGUUUUACCUACAUGCCUUGCAAAAAUUCUAAAUAAAUGUGAAUUUUGAUAGAGAUCAGUUAAAUCUAAACAUUCUGACAUUCUAACCAAUUUAGUCUAAAAACAUUUGGAAGCAAACAAUAAAACAUACUCAUGCACUCCAGCUCACAGAUAUCCUAGUCCAUUGCUUUCAUGAUACUAUCAUCUUUCCUAUAGAUGUUCUGCUUCUGUUGGUUACCUUUUGGGGAAGAUUUACUAUAACUUGGAGGCAAAUUCAUUAAAUUCAUUGAUUCCCAUAGCAUUAACAAGGCAUAAGGGAACUGAGAAAGAAGAGUCAAAGCCAUCUUUUGAAUCAGGGUUGCCUCUUAUCUAGGUCAAAUGUGUAUUAAUUCAUCUGAUCGGUCAGUCACGUCUAUUCUAGUAUGCAAACAAACCAGAAGAAAGAAAAAAAUAGUAAUAAUUUAGAUUUCUUUUUCUGUUAAGACUUUCAGAUAUUUUAAGACUACAUGAGCUCUAUUUAUUCAGUCAGUCAUGUAGAGCUUCAGGUGAUGAAAGUAAGUACUUUAAAUUGUCAGGGAGAAAUUUUAAGUUACGGAGUGAUUACGUGUUUGUACAAUUGAGUUUACAUGAUACACCAUUCUAUACAUUCAACAAUGCCACAUAAAGUAAAGGUCAUGUUUGGGUUCUUUGAUCUUUAGAAUCAUAUGAUCUGGAUUUUCAUCAUUAGAAAAUUAUGGAAAUUCAAUAUUGAGAUUUCCAGAUGCAAUUUGGUUGAGACUAAGAAAGUUAGCCAAAAGGAGGGGAGAAUUUGUAAAAUAUGAAAAGUAUGCUCUGCAUAUAGAAAUAAAUAACAUUAUGACAUGCAAUGCAAGCUAAGCUCCCUACAGAUCAGUUACUUUCUUGAGCUGGGUGUAUGAGAAUUCAAAGGCGGUGUGUUAUACUUUUCUCACUCUAAUUUCCCUUGGCAUGUAACAUAUCCUUGUUUUACAGUGCAGUAGCUACUCUUGAAGUAGCAUACUAAAAGAGCACCUUGUUAUAUCAUUUACAGAGUAUAUCAGAAUGCAAACAUACCUUCUCAUCUAAAAAGAUAUAAACCAUCAUGAUUUCUACAUGCAUCGAAACACAACCUCAUUGGCAUAGUAUGCACAGCUGAUACACCAUGGCAUGUUAGGUAACCUAGUCAUCACUUAUGCCAGAAUAGCCAAUCAGUAGCUUGGGGAAAGGAGACCAUUUACCAGUAAUCAGGCGAGAAAGGAGCAUCUGCAUUCAUAAUACUCCGCAAUCUCCAACAGAAGUAAUGUUUUUAUUGCCAUUAAGCAAAUAUCCACUUGUACUCGAUGAAAUGGAACAGUGUACUACCCGAGAUCGAUUGUCUGACUACUGAACAACCAUUCAAGCUUAUGGCCGCCAAUAAUGAAGGAUUGCCGGAUGGUCACCAUUGAACUUUCCAAUGAGUGCAGCAUUACCCUUGCCAUACACGGAUCUGAAUUAAAUACCGGCAUCUACGCGACUUAAAGAUUUUCUUACGUUUGCGGCACGGCACGUAAAGAAUAUCUUCCAAAUACUCCUCUACAAAUCUUGACUCAAUUAGGAAGAUGUGGAAGAUUGAAGAUUCAUUUAAAUAUUGACUCCAACUCCAUGCAAAAGAAAACAGCUUCAGAAAUCAGAAGCCCUCACCAUUAGAUAGAAUUUUCUUUCUUUUCCUUUUUCUGUUUAAUAAUACACAUAUAAUGUUUUUUUUCUCUCAAGAUAUUAGGGGCAAUGAGGCUAAUAGUGAGAUUGAGAAAUGAAGCAGCCAGAGGCUGUACUGGCUGAAACCAUUGGCAAUAAAGAAUAAGGGAUGCUUCCUUUCAGGCCUGCUUUGGCUGCUUUGGGCCCGGGACUAAGGUGGUAUUGGUAACAAUGCAAUAAGCGCCAAGUACACAUAACUAACAUUCAAUACCUAACCGUCCUGCAAUGAACUCUCCCUCUCUAAUUUCCUCCCUUUGUUUUAUGUCCUUUAUUUCACAUUCCAAACCCCAAACACCUCUCCCUCUAUCUCUCUCUCUCUCUCUCUCUCGUGUGCAUCUUUUCUACCUUAUAUUAACACUUCCAAAAACCCAUUUCCUCCUCCAACUUUCUUAUAGAGCUUCCAUUGCAUCAGAAAGAGCUGUCCAAGGAUGGAUGCUGGAAACACUCGUACCAAAGACUUCUUCGCAUCGCCAGCACUCUCCCUCUCACUUGUAAAUACUCUUUAUCUUUCUUCAUACAGCAAUCGCUGUGCACCACGAUAAUUUUGCGAUAUCAUGAUAAACUUAAAUUUUUUAUUCCAAUUCCAUUAGGCUGGCGUGUUCCGUAAUAUCGAGGUGGUAGAAGAGGAGGUGGAGGAAGGGGACGAGGGGAGCGGUGGAGGUAGUAGAGGGGAACCAGUGGAGAUCAGCAGUGAGAACACUGGGCCGGGCGGUCAAUCGGAUGAAGAUGGAGGGGACAAUGGAUUGGCCGACGAGGAUGGAGAGGAAGGGAAUAAGAAGAAAAGGAGAAAGCAGUAUCACAGGCAUACAACUGAACAGAUAAGAGAAAUGGAAGCGUGAGUUCUAUACUCCUAUUUGCCUUUGCUUUGCAUAUAUAUAUAAUGGAUUAGGUACGUAGACAUGCAUGAAAUCAAUGGCCGAGUAUACGUUCAGCCGUAUGAUGAGUUACUGAAUUAGCUGGGGAUGCGAUACGUCCUUCAGACUAUUUUUAUGAAUCAAAUAGGCGUAAAAUUUGAUUGAAAUGAUGAAAGAAAGAAAAAGUAGCCACUCUAUGUCCAAGAAUUAUCUUGUAAAGUGGUCUUUACUAUUAAAUUGUUGUUACUAGACAUAAUCUAAGUUGACUCAGGCCAUCUGAGAAAACCAGGAUGAUACCCAAGUAUUCUUUUUCCUUUCUUUUUUUUAUAUAUAUAAUUUUUGAUGGGAAGGAUGAUAUCCAAGUAUUCGAAAACAUGAUUUAAGAAAUCCUAAAUCCUCAUCUUAUUCCUUCAGUUUAUCCACCCAUAAGAUCAAUAUUUCUUCGUUUCCUAAAUCCUCAUCUUAUUCCUCAUCUUAUAAAUCCGCUUCUUGUCCUCCACAAAAAUCACGUACAGCUCGGAACUUCCGAAAAAAAGAGAAUGGUUACUAGCCAAUUUAACCCAGAAUCAGCAUAUAUAAGCUCGUGUGAUUCUCCAAAAUUAUGUAAUACUAUUUUUUUCUUUCGGGAAACAAAGGAAAUUAUUUGGUAACAUGUGUUGUUGAAGCUAAUUUGAGAUUAGAUUAUUAGUGGGCCAUAUUCUCUCCAAUUUGGCAGUACAAACUGUUUAAAUUAGGUAAAUUGUUCGGCAGAAGCACUAAUAUAUCCAUACCGACUAAGAGCUUAAAAAAAUUCAGAGCAGAAUUGAGUUCCAUAAUGUUAGCCAAGAAGGCCACAAUUGGAACACUGCCGAACAAUGGAGAUCAGGAAACAAUGCCCGUUUGGAUCCUAAUAUUGUUUCUUGGCAUGGGUACAUCAGGUUAUUCAAGGAGUCACCACAUCCAGAUGAGAAGCAGAGGCAGCUGCUAAGCAAACAAUUAGGCCUCUCAGCCAGACAAGUGAAGUUCUGGUUCCAAAACCGGCGAACCCAGAUCAAGGUAACCAUGCGAAGGACCUGUUUUUGCAUCUUAGCAGAAAAUUUUAUAUGUUUAAAUUAAUUAUUUGCUCAAAAAAUUACACAUUUACAAAAUAGUUGGUGUAAUCUUUUUUUUCCCUCUUAUAUUUUGGGGCUCAUAAGGCUUUUUAAGGUCCCUCAGGCAAUACAGGAGCGGCAUGAGAACUCCCUUCUGAAGUCAGAGAUAGACAAGCUUCGAGACGAGAACCGGGCCAUGAGGCAGAUGAUUAAUAAAGCAUGCUGUCCCAACUGUGGAUUUGCUACCUCAAGCAAAGACACUGCAAUGACUACUGAAGAACAACAACUACGAAUCGAGAAUGCCAGACUUAAAGCAGAGGUAUGUAAAACAACUCAUGGUUAAUCCAGUUGAUUACAUUCAGUUAAGGUUGCUGCUUUUUUGUUGUUGUUGUGAGGACCCGGGUGGACGUGUGUUUAGUCUCACAUCGGUUAUUUACCAAGGAGAUCCUGAGUACUUAUACAGGACUAAGGAACCCAAAAAUUACCUUUCAACUAGUCUUUUUGGAUGAGAUCCUGGGUUGUUACAAUUGUUGUUUUCUAUCAAAUUCUUUGGAUAAUUUUGUUGUCAUUGCUGUUGCUGUCACCUGUUGCUAUAUUUGAUUCUAUGGAUGCUAGUACUAAGUCCUCAGUCUCAUCUCUACUAUCACUGCUGAAAACAUCUCAUUUGAUGCCUUUCAAUAUGUAGAUAGAAAAGUUGCGAGCAAUGCAUGGAAAGGUUGCUGAGGGAACUGCUUCACUGAGUUCAUCAUACUCAGCAGGCACCGACCAAAACAACAGAAGUUCUUUGGAUUGCUACAGCGGGUUCUUUGGGCUGGAGAAGUCUAGAAUUUUAGAGGUUGCCAAUGCUGCCUCGGACGAGCUGAUGAAGAUGGCAACAACCCUUGAACCUUUGUGGGUCCGAAGUGUUGAGACUGGCCGUGAAAUACUCAACUAUGAUGAGUACAUUCGAGAAUUCUCACCUGAGAUUUCCAGCAGAGGACACGUUAGGCAUUCGAUUGAAGCAUCUAGAGAGUCAGGAGUUGUCUUCUUGGACAUCUCAAGCCUUGUAAAAGCUUUCAUGGAUGUGGUAUGAUCUCUAAGUUUGACUUAACUGUUGCUUGCAAUAUAUUUAACUUUCAGCCCAAUUCUACCACCUUUUUAAUCCACGUAACAAUAUUAGCCAUCUAAAAUUACUUAGUUGCCACAUACUGUAUGCACUCUUCUCUGUACUACAAAUUUUUCUUCAUAUUAGCCUACUUAUUUAGUUUAUCGAGUUUCUGAUCUAUGAAAAGCUCAGCUUGAGCAUAAAUGUUCAAAUAAGUGGAGCUCUAAAAACUACUUGAGCUCGAUUUAUUUUCUAAAUUAACCAAGACAAGACGGGACUGAGCAUAUCAGAAACAGUUUGGAUUGUUUGCGGCCCUACCAACCUCCCUCCCUCACAUUUUCUUUACUUAGGAUAAGUUGGACCUAUCUUUUUGACAUGCCAUGAUAUUUGAACUUUCCAUUAAAUUAAACUGCACAUUCAUUAUCUGAAGUAGAAGUUUAUUGUAUAGAACUGUUAAUAUCUUCUCAUUGGCUUCUCUGGUCUCCAGAAUCGUUUAUCCAACUCAACUAAAAUAGAACAGCAUGCAUGAACUUUUUGGUGUAUGUCCGUAUGUUUACCUUAAUCUCCUUUUUUUUGUUGUUGUUGUAGAACCAAUGGAAGGACUUAUUUCCUUGCAUGGUUUCCAAGGCAUCCACCAUAGAUGUUAUUUAUAACGAAAAUGGUGAAAGUGGAGAUGGCACUAUACAACUGGUAAGCCUUUUCUUCUCAAAAAAAAAAAGAAAAAGAAAAAAGAAGCUAGUAACUUCAAACAAUGCAAGCAAGUAUUGUCAUCUCUAGAGCUUGCUCUUUAGGUUUAAUUUAAAUGACUCGAACAUCAAGUUAGAAGUAGAAAUAAUU